rnacentral:lncRNA from 1 species
CUUUGAGAACUCUGAUUCAUUUUGGAAAUUUCCCAUGGGCAAAGACCAACCUGCAAGACCAAGGUUUAAACCUGUCUUGAGAGAUCCCCAGUCUUAUGACGAUCAAAAUGUUUGGGGACCAGUUGAUAUGUGACAACACUCAAAUUCUUGAUUGUCUUCAGUGCUCUGCUGUUGUAUCAACAUUUAUCUAAGCCCUUGUAUAUUUAGCCACUUCACUGAUAUUCCAAGCAUUUACUUCUAUUUUUUGGGUGGAAAAUUUGAAACUAAAGACCAUUAUUGAUGUGUAAUUUUAUUUUAGAAACUUUGCGAAUAAUCAAAUUGGCUUCAUUAAAUUUGAAAAUUCCACUAAGGAUGUUUUGUAGUAGCUUCUAUGUGAUGGGUUCCAUUGAAGAGGCACAUCUUUGGAUAUUUUUCCAUUUUCCUUAUUCUCGUUUCUUGAUCUACUUGAUAACCUCUUAAGUUUAGGGCAUUUCAUUUAAAAUGCUCGGCCAGAUAGGGAUUCAGUUUAUGGCAUAGGAUGAAAAGGCUCAUAGCUUCUCUGUACAUCCCCAAUAUCUAAGAGACCAUUUUGUCCUUAAAAAAUAUAUUUUGGAUUCUACAAUCCAGAAAUAUAUUUUUUCUAUUUACUAUUUUCAGAUUCAAUGAUUUAAAAUAUUUUUUUUAAAGAAAUAUAUUAUGGAUUACAAAAUUUUGAAGGUAUUCCGGAUCUGAAAUUAUCUUCUGAAUUUUGUAAUCCAAAAAUACCUUCUCAUUCCAUAAUUCAUGAGUUCUAGUGAUCACUCAUUUCAAAAUAAAAAACAUCAACAAAAUAAAAGGUAUUCUUAGUAUUUUAAGAAGUAUGGAAUUCCACAAGUUAUGGAAGUGCAGAAGAAAAAAAAAGAUUUUAAAUGCAUGUUUUAUUUUUGGGGAAAAUGGAGAUGUAUUGUGUUUGUGUUGUCCAUCGAUUUAGUACUUUCUUAACCAAAUAAGCAACAAGAGGGCAAAAAUUACUCCAUGAAUGCUUGGCUUUCAUUGAACCACUUAUUUCAACAAUAAGGCUAUCUUACUUUAUUUAAUGAUUUUUUGUAAAAUUAAAUUUCAUUAACUCAAUUUUUUUUAAUCAAAUACAUUAAGUCUACAAUUUUUUAUACAAUUUAAAAAUAUUAAAUAUUUAUCACUUAAUUUUACUUUAAUGUAUUAUAUACAAGCGCAAAUCAUUUAAUUUACAUGAGCAUGAAGGUGCAAUAUGCCGUUAUUUUAUAUUAUAUUUAUUAAAUUUGUGUUAAGUAAACUAAGUAUUAAAUAAUUAUUUAAAAAAAGAGUGCUUUCAUUUUCACACCCAUACAGACAGCUACAGGGUACAUAAUCAAUUACAUGAAAGGAUUUGACCAAAACAAUCGAAUACAUAAAAAAAUUUAACAAUUUUUUUCAGUAUCAAUCCACGAACUAUUUUUUUUUUGGUAUUUGAAUUUUAGACUUUAAGUUAGAUAGACAUGUUAGAAAACAAAUAUAGAGGAAAAUCAAAGAAUAGCUAGCUAAUAAUGUCACAUAUAUACCUACAUAUUAUUAUAAAUUUUCUUUUACAUAAAUUUAUUCCUAUUUUAUUCUUAUUAAUAUCUUAUUUUAUUAAUUUGUUUUGGUUAUUUUGUCAUUUUGUAAUUUCAACGGUUAACAAUAUAAUUUUUUAGUUUUAAAAAUUUAUUUUAUUUAUUGUCACUUAAAGGUUGUUAGGUAUGCAUCAUGUUAUUUGAAAAGAGUGGAGAAAUUGGUAUGUUGUUGUGUUAGACUCAUUUUUUUCAAUUGUCAUUAUAUAGUUAUGAAUAUUCUAUUUUAUUUUAUUAAUUUAUUUUAGUUAUUUUGCAAUUUCAACCGUUAACAAAGCAGUUUUUUAGUUUUCAAAAUUUAUUUUAUUUAUUGUCACUUACCGUUGUUAAUUGUGGACCACAAAACAAUUUGAUUUUGAGUUUUGACUCGUUUGUUUUGGAAACUGUUUUUCUUCUCUAUUUUUAAAUUGUUUUUAAACUAUAUAACUAUUAUGUUGAUUAUGUUUCCUUCCUAAUAUAACAAAGGUGCACUUAGAUAAUUUACGUGUCUUCUUAUAUAUAUUUAUAUUUAUUAAAAUGUACUAUAAAUUUAUAUUGUUAAUAUAAAUAUGUGAAUAAUAACAUUGUUUAUUCGAAUUUUAAUAUUAAACAAAAAAUGUGAAACCAAACGCUCUUGCGUUUGUGUUCCCGUUCUCGCUAGUUUAAAUAAUGUCAAAAUAAAAUAAACUAAACUUAUUUCAAUUUAACCUUGAAACUUAGAUACAUUGUAUUAUUUCAAACAAACAAAAAUUACUUAUUUACCCAUUUUAGAAGUUACAUACAUCAUAUUAAUUGUGUAAAUUGAUAAAAUCCUUUUACAUUGGGCCACCAUAGUUGGGCUUUUGUUUCUGUUUGUCAUCUAUGUUUUGCUAUUUGACAUAUACAUAUAAAUACUCUUAUGAAUCCAAUAAUACUCAGUUUUCCGUGCCAUUGAUUUGCAAUUCAGAUUUCCACUUUGUUUUUCUCUUUGUUCUUUCUCCUUUACCUUGUUUAGGGUUUCCUCAUCUGUUGAUUGGUUUCUUGGUUGAUUGUUAUUUCUUCACUAUGAUGGUUGAUCGCAUUAUGGUAUCAGAGCUCUUUAAUUGAAGAGCUUUGUUGCGCACUCCGAAAUCUUGUUUUCUUCUUUCUUAUUCUUGAAUCCUUUCUAUGGGUUUUCUUUGCAGUAAUGGCGGAAGAAUGCGUCGCUUCGUCGUCUCCGUCUCAAGCCGAUCCGGCGAAUAGUUACCUCUACCUUCAUCCUAGUGAGAACCCCUUUGCACCGCUCGUCUCACCGGUGUUGGACGCUUCCAAUUACCACUCCUGGAGUCGCUCGAUCUUGAUGACACUAAAUGCUAAAAACAAAGUGGAGUUCGUUCUUGGAACGCAUCCUUGCCCAAAAAAAGAUCAUCAUAAUUUCUCAUCCUGGAACAGAUGCAAUAAUAUGGUAGUCUCAUGGUUAGUACACUCUGUCUCCCUCCCUAUUCGGCAAAGCAUUAUCUGGAUGGAUGUUGCCCUAGACAUCUAGAAUGAUUUAAAAACCAAAUACUCUCAGGGUGACCUAUCUAGGAUUUCUAAUCUUCAACUAGAAGUAGCCUCUUUAAACCAGGGGGAUUUAUCUGUGACUGAGUAUUUUACAAAAUUAAGGAUAAUUUGGAACGAGUUGGAUAAUUUUAGGCCUAUCCCCAUAUGCACAUGUUCUGUAAAAUAUUCUUACUCGGUCAAUUCUAUCAUAAGUCAAAGAAAAUAUGAAGAUCAUGCUAUGCAAUUUUUGAGAGGGUUAAAUGAUCAGUACAAUAACAUUAGAUCACACGUUUUACUCAUGGAACCAAUUCCACCUAUAUCAAAGUUUUUUCUCUUGUUGCCCAACAAGAAAGGAAAUUAACAAAUAACAUCUCUGUUAGCAUCUCUAGUAUUAACAAUGCUAAUUCCACUAGGACGUCCUCAUCUACACUGUGCACUUUUUGUGGUAAGCAUGGGCAUACUGAAAAUGUUUGUUUUAAAAAGGUUGGGUUCCCUAAUCAAGACAAUAGGAACUCAAAAUCCAACACUAGAAAGGUUUGCACGCACUGUAACAGGAAUUGUCACACUGUGGAUACCUGUUACAAGAAACAUGGCUACCCUCCUGGGUACAAAUUCUAUAACAACAAUAGGACUAGUCGGAUUAAUAGUCUUGUUACUACUUAUAGAGUUUUCUUUGAGCCUUGUCCAAAAGAACAUGAAAAACGUGAUUACCAUCUAACUGCUCAUCAACUUCAAAUUCUCAAUGAUGUUUUGAGGCAGAAUCAAGUGAAUCAAGUGGGCUCCUUCUCUGCAAACCCCAACGCACAUGAGUCGUCUUCAACGAGUAAACACUCCUUUACCUCUUUAAAUCAUUGUCAUAAUUCCUGGAUUGUUGAUUUUGGUGCCACUGAUCACGUUUGUAUUGUCUUAUCUGCUUUCACCUCUUGUCAAACUAUUAAACUUGUCCUGAUCAAUUUACCAAAUGGCCAACAUGCUUUUGCAAACUAUUAUGGGACAAUUGUUUUUACAAAUAAACUUUAUCUUCUUGAUGUGUUGUACAUCCCUCAAUUUACAUGCAAUCUUAUAUCUGUUUCUAAAUUGUCUCUACACUUAAAAUGUACCUUGAUCUUUUACCCCACACAUUGUCUUAUACAGGACAACCUCUCCAAAAAGCAUAUUGGCUGGCUUGUUCAUCUUUAACUCUUCUAUUUUUCACACUGCCACACACAAUUUUAUUCCUUUUGUCUCUUACACUGUUAAGGAAAAUAAUUUAUGGCAUUGUAGAAUGGGGCAUCCCUCUGAUGAAAGGUUGCAUGUCUUGAAAAGUCAAUACCCUUUUGUUUCUGCUGAUAAAACUCAUAUGUGUGAUAUUUGUAAUCGUGCAAAACAAAGAAAACUUCCAUUUACUCUAAGCACUUCUCACACUACUGCUAUCUUUGACAUCAUUCAUGUUGAUAUUUGAGGACCCUAUUCUGCUACAUCUAUGCAAGGUUUUCGUUAUUUUUUUAAUAUUGUGGAUGAUUUUUCUCGUUAUACAUGGACUAUAUUGUUGCAUGCUAAAUUUGAAGUUCGCACCCAUCUCAUAAACUUUUUUGCUUAUGCUGAAAAUCAAUUUAAAACUAACAUCAAAUGCAUUUGUUCUGAUAAUGGCGCUGAAUUUUCCAUAAAAACCUUUAUUGCUUCCAAAGGCACAGUUCAUCAAACUACUUGCAUAGAAACACCUAAGCAAAAUGGUAUAGUUGAAUGUAAACACCAACACAUUUUAAACAUGACUUGCGCUUUACUGUUUCAAGCAAAUUUACCUCAUAUUUUUUGGGACUUCGCUGUCCAACAUGUUGUUUUCCUCAUAAAUUGCACAUAUACUACACAUACUCCCCUUUUACAAGAUAUUGCUCCAUAUGAAAAAAAAAUUUCGAAAACCUUGUGAUAUCUCUUCCUUACGUGUUUUUGGCUGCUCUUAUUAUUCUACUACCAUUCAUGCUAAUCGAAAGAAAUUAGAUACUAGGUUUGUUCAUGGCAUCUUUCUCGGUUUUCCACAUAAUACCAAAGGUUACAUUAUCUUAAAUUUAAAGUAUCAUCGCAUUGAAAUUUCAAGACAUGUGAUAUUUCAUGAACAUCAUUUUCCAUAUAAAUUGAAUCAUGAUGACACACAGGGCCCCGACACUUUAUCUUUACCCAUUCCUGCUGACUAUAAUACAUUCUAUGAUGAUAUCUUGUUUGAUUAUAACUGUCAAAAUCAUGAGCACGAGACUCCCAUCACUCACAAUGAAGACAACAUCAUUCCACCUAGAUGCUCCAGUAGACAAAGACGACUCCCUUCCUAUUUAGAGGACUUCCAGACCUGUUUACCCGCUGCCAACACUGUAAGUAAUCGGUAUCCCAUUCAUAAAUUUCUUUCCUAUAAUGUUCUCUCACCCUCUUUCAAAAAGACUAUUUUUUUCUAUAUCUUCUAACAAUGAACCCAACUCCUAAACCGAGGCUUCUAAGCAUUCUUGCUGGAAACAAGCAAUGCAAGAAGAGCUUAAUGUUCUUAAUGCUAACAAUACAUGGCAGAUCACUACUCUCCCUCCAGGAAAGAAAACCAUUGGUUGCGAAUGAAUUUUUAAGGUAAAACACAAAUCUGAUGGCACCAUUGAUCGCCACAAAGCACGAUUGGUAGCAAAAGGCUACACACAAUUAGAAGGUCUUGACUUCUUAGAUACUUUUGCUCCUGUAGCAAAACUAACCACUUUAAGACUUUUACUUGUUGUUGCUACUUCUCAAAACUGGAUUCUUAAACAACCUGAUGUGAAUAAUGCCUUCCUCCAUGGUGACCUCCUUGAGGAAGUCUACAUGCAACCACCGCCAGGCUUCAAACUUCCAUCUCCUCAACAUGUCUGCAAAUUACAAAGAUCACUUUAUGGCCUUCGCCAGGUCGACCGUCAAUGGUAUGCAAAACUGUCUCAAUUUUUACUUUCAAAUAACUACAUUUUAUCCUCUGCUAAUUGUUGAACAAGAUGCUUUGAUGUCUCCAAAUCCAAGAGGAAAGCUUGAAGACCUUGCUGCUAGGUGUGUGUGUGUUGUCUAGUUGUUUGAAACUUGUUAAUUCACUCCUUAAUUUGAUCCAAGUUCAUUUGAAUCUUUAACCUUUUGAAAAGAUGAGUUUUCUAAAAAGCUAUAAAAAAUUCAACAGGUUGUUUUGCCUUAGCUGUUUUUGAAAAACUUGGUUGACUUUGCUGUCAAACCAAAACAAUCGAUUGUUUCGACAAAACAACCGAUUGUUUUCCUGAAAACCUUAACAGAAUUCUGUUAAGCGGUUUUAAUAUGUUUUAAAUGAUCCUAACUAACUUGGCUCCUUUAUUAAAUGCUUUUGACCACUUGGUUGGUCUAUAUAAAGGUAGUUUUACGCUCCUAAUCUUGAAGUAACAGAAAGAGUUUAUCAAAACAGUUUUUCCAAGAUUUGAAAAGAGCUUUGGAUCAUUCUUAAGUGUGUGGAAUAGGAUUGGGUUGUAAUUCUGAUCUUUAAGCUUUGUAAUACCCAGGUGUAUUCUAUUCCCUUCUUCCUUGAUUACUGUAUUUCUGUAGUUGUGUUGCCAAGGAGUGUUGUGUGUUCUUGAGGGGUUCAAGAUCAACAUUCUUGGUGUGGUUUGCCAAAGGUAGUGUGUUUCUUGAGGGGUUCAAGGUCACUACUUUGGUGUGUGGUGUUUGUAAUCUGGUUUUGAUUGCAUAGUGGAAUACCCAGUGGUUUCUAGGGACUGGAUGUAGCUCUUGGUGUAAGAGCGAACCAGUAUAAAUUGCUUGCAUGCUUAUCUCUUACCCUUAACCCUUUAAAUUCUGUUUUUAAGUUGUUUUUAUAAACUGCUGAUAAAAACAACCGAUUGUUUUUUUGAUAUCAUCUUGAAACAAUUUUGGUUCUUUGUUUCUUUGAUUUCUUUCUCUGUCAUUCAGCAUUGAUUUUCAUUAUACCUUCAAAGUUUGCGAAAAUCCCUCUUAAACAAAUCACCCCCCUCUCGUUUAAGGCCAUAUAUUCUAACACUAAUCACUCUCUCUUUUUAAACCAUAAUGGACCUAACAUAACCAUUAUUCUUGUGUAUGUUGAUGAUUUGGUGAUGAUCAUGAGGAAAUUACCAACAUCACCUCUUUGUUGGACAUUCAAUUCAAAAUCAAGAAUCUAGGAGACCUCACUUAUUUUUUGGGCCUGGAGGUUGCCAGAAACAGCCAAGGGCUCCACAUCUGUCAACGAAAAUACGUGCUGGACCUUCUUCAUGACACUGGCAUGAUCAACUCUGCUCCUAUGUCUACACCCAUGGUUCACUCAUCUCGGCUUUCCUCCUCCUAUGGUACAAGACUCACUGACAUUGAAACCUCUGCAUAUAGAAGACUCAUUGACAAGCUCAAUACCUCACCAACACACGGCCUGACAUUACCUUUGUUGUCAACAACCUAAGCAGUUUAUUUCCUCUCUUACCAAUCUCCAUCAACAAGCUGCUUUUCGCCUUCUUCGGUACUUGAAAGGCAACCCUGAGAAUAGCAUUUUCUUUCACAGCAACAACACUCUCCAACUUCGUAGUUUCAAUGACUCAGAUUGGGCUACUUAUCCUGAAACCCGAAAAUCUGUAACUGGUUACUCCAUCUUCUUGGGUGAUUCUCUUGUCUCAUGGAAAUCCAAGAAACAAAAAACCAUUUCCAAGAGUUCUUCUGAAGCAGAAUAUAGAGCCUUAGCCACAACCACCUGUGAGAUUCAAUGGCUAACCUACAUCCUUCAAGACCUUGGACAUCCCUAUAUCCAACCAGCAACCAUCUACCGUGACAACCAAUCUGCAAUACACAUUGCUUCAAAUCAAGUCUUUCAUGAGCGCACCAAACACAUUGAGAUUGACUGUCACAUCGUUCGAGACAAGAUUAAUGAUGACCUUCUCAAGUUGCUUUCCAUCUCUUCCUCUAUGCAGAUUGCAGACAUCCUUACCAAAACUCUUGCUCCUACAAUACAUAAAGAGCUCCAGUCCAAACUGGUCGGGGGAUGAUAAAAUUCUUGGGCCACCAUCAUUGGGCUUUUGGUUUUUUGUUUGUCAUCUAUGUUUUGCUAUUUGACAAGUACAUAUAAAUACUCUUAUAAAUCCAAUAAUAUUCAGUUUUUUUCCAUUGAUUUGCUAUUCAGAUUUCCACUUUAUUUUUUCUCUUUGUUUUUUCUCCUUUACCUUGUUUAGGAUUUUCUCAUCUGUUCGAUUGAUUUCUUGAAUGAUUGUUAUUUCUUCACUAUAUGGUUGAUCGCAUUAUAAAUAUUUAUUAUAAAACUGUUUUUGAAAAUAUGUUUAAAAUUUUCAAUAAUGUUAUAGACUCUUGAACUUUACAAAAUAAUUCUCAAGAAACCAAUAAAGUUAUUGGGAAUGUAAAUUUGAGAAUAAGAAUUUAGGAAUAUGAUAUUUUCUUGCUUGUUAUAAGAUUAUUCUUAGAAAAAUAAUUAAGUUGCGAAAAAGUUAUAUUCUAAUGAUUUUUUUUCAAUCUAAUUAUGAUUUUCAUUUAUAUCCUUACCUAUUCUGAGAUCCCAUGUUUGCUUUAGCAAAAUAUUAUUUUUUAAAUAUAAUAAAAAUUACAAUUUUAAGUUAUAUUGAGUUAAUUAUUUAAUUAUUGCUUUAAAUCUCAUUAAUUUUUAAUUUUUUCUAACUUUUUCUAAUUUUCUGAAAAUAAUUUUGAUGUUUUUUAAUUAAAGUGCCGACGUGUUUAAAUUAUAUAAAUUAAGAUUGGUGACAAAUUUAUUACUCUUUUAUAUAUAUAUAUAUAUAUAUUAUAUGCAUAUGAGUAAUUUAUAAUAGGAUAGAUAUGAUUGUAUAUUAUUAUUAUUAUUAGUGAUUUAAAUUAAGGUCAGGAUUCACUGUAAAUAAAAAAAAAAUAUGAUUUCACUUAAUAAUAGAAAUAAAGAUAUCUUUUUCUCUUUCUUUUUUUUUUUCUUUCUUUCUUCCUUCUUUCUCUAUUUCUUAAAAAUAUAUAAAAUUGUUUCUUAACAUUAAUUUAAAACAAUAAAAAAAAAAUAUUUUUAAGUGAUUCAUAUAAAAUGAGAAAAUGUUUCUUCUCAUAAUUUUAAAAAUUAAAAGAUAAAAUAAGAUAUAGGAAAAAAUGUAUAUACACCAAUUAUAAGGAAAAAAUUAUCUUUAUGAAGGAAUAUAUUAUAGUUUAUUUAUUAUUUAUUAUUUACGUGGAACUUGUUUUGAUUACAUGAGAUGUACGUGCAUAACAAAAAUAGUUUGUAAGAAAAUAUCUCUUAAAAAGUUAAAGUAAAAACAGAUGUGUAAAGAGAAGAAGAAGAAAAACCGUGUUUGUUUAAAAUAACAAUUUCUUGUUAGUGAAAAGAAUAACUUUUGGGUACACGUUUUGUAGCAGUGGUUGAAUUUUACGAAAAUUUAUAAAUUUUGAUGAAUGUGAAUUUUUAGAAAGAAAGAUAUUUUUGGCUGAGUUUAAGAUACUUCUCGUGAUUCAACAAGAUAAUAAUGCGAGGAGAGGAAAAGUGAGAAAGGAUCUUGUCUUUUUUCUUGCUGGUUUUUUAUUUGAUUUUUUUCCCUCACAACAAAGAAUAGAUUUGAGAAGAAGAAAUUAACUACAUCGAUAUCAAAUCCAAACAAUACCCAGUGCAGUGUUGCAGUGCGCCACUGAACACAGACAAAAAUCAUGAACUGUCUUCACAAUCUUUCUCGGUUCGUUUAUCCUUCUCCUUUUCAAUUCUUCCUAUUCUUAUCCACAUCCAAAGAAUCAGAUUCCUCAAUUUUCAGAUUCUCUCUUUUACCCUUCGAAACGGUUGCCACGCGCCACCGCAACAACCUUCCCCUGUCCCUGGUACACUCCAUUUUCCCUUUUAUUUCGUUAGUACUUCUCUACAAUUAUAUUUCUCUUUCUCUCUCACACCUUCUCUUUUUUUUUCAACGCUCGAUACAGCGAAUCGUCACUAAUUCUCAUCAUAAUCGAAGUAUGGCGCUCAAGGUAGCUACACUCUUUGUUUUUCCUUCCUUUAGUUUCUUUUUAAUAUUAAUGGUGUUUUGCUAGUGCUAUGAUAUUGGUUUUGUAGUCUUUUCAAGUUCAAUCUAUUUAAAGAUCUUAGUGUUGGAAAUUUCGCGUCAACUAGUGAUAUGUCCUAUUCAAGUAUACAAGUGGGAAGCUAUCAUCUGAUCAUGUUUUGACAAACUUCUUCCUAACAACUUUUACAAGAAAAAGUGAAAUGAUUUUUUUGAAUUAGUUUAUGUAUAAUUUGUAGAAGCUGUUAUAACUUUUCUAAAGUCUUACUUUUUAGCCUAUGCACAAGUUAAUUUUAAUCUUUUGGAAAUCCUCAUGAAGAAGUUUGUCUAAAUAAUCUUAAGUCCCUUUUGUGCAACCAGUGAUAAGACCUGAUUGAACUAUGUAUGUGAGAAGUUAUACUCAUAUCAUAAGUCGGUUAUGUAGGAUUGAAUUUGUUCCAACCUAAAUGCUAAGACUUGGAAUAAUAUCGCAUUUUGUCAACGUCCAUUAAAUAAGAUAAUAUUGUUGGAUUUUGGUUGCUCAAUACCAUUCAUGGUGUUGAAGCUGAUUCAGUUUUUGUGAGGAUUACACUCUGAGCUUAUGUAAUGGAAUAAUUAGACAACAUUUGAAGGCGUGGAAACCGUGGCAUGUUCACGGCAUAUUCUGGAAUCUACCAGAAUUGAUGAUGGUGUUGUCAUUUGAAAGUUGUAAGAUUUGUCAUUUUGGUGUGUGCCCGCGAGCAAAUUUAAAUGAAAAGAAAACAAGGAGAUAUUGCUGUAGAAGUAACUAUAAAAUCCUAAAAAGAUGAACACCGUUUGUUAUUUAUAUGCCGUGCCCUGUGAAAUAUUCAUCAUCAUUUAGGCUUGUCUGUUUAAGUGGACUUAUCUGCUAUUCAUGUCAUUUCUGCUUCAUAUUUCCUUUGUUUUAUAGAGAACUUGAUUGACAUUUUCUUUUGCAGGCUGCUUCAGGUUCUGUACCAAGUGCAGACAAAAGUAGUGCGAACAAGGAAGAGGAGAAGUCUGAGACAUAUUCUCAUAACAUGACAGAAGCCAUGGGUGUUGGUAUGUUUACUAUUUUUGUUCUUCUAGUUCAACAAUGAUGCAGUCUUAUCCUGCUAGAUAGACUUGGCUAAACAUCAUUUAGGCCCUAACAAAAACCUAAAUUUCAGUAUAGACCAAGGUCUUGUUUUAAUUGCUUCUCCUAAGUUUUCUUCAGUGUUUGUUUGCCCCUUUGAAUCAGAAUAUCUUCCAUUUGAUCUACUUUUCUCACAUUUGUUGGUCUUUUCCUACUUUGUGGUUACUGAUUAGUAAAAGACAUGGAAUACAAUUUGGGGGAAACUGAGAGUAUCUUGAACUUGAAGCUCCCUGUUCAAUUGUAAUUUCUUUUUCAGAAAGCUGUGUUGAAAUAUUUCAAAUUAUGGUGAUAAACCUCCAUUAUGUUUACUGCAACCAAUUCUAACAUUCUUAGGUUUUGUAAUAUUCAUAUUCAGGUAAUAGUUUGGAUUAACUAUAGGAGCACUCAUUUGCCCAUUCUAUCAUUUUUUUCUUUGAAUAAUUCAUGUUGUUAACCUUUCUAACAAAUGCUACUCAGUUUUGUCUUAUAAGCAUGAGUUAGGAAUGAACUAUAACUUCAUCCGUCCAGACUUAAUUGUGGGAUCAUGCCCACAGGUAUUUUUGUUUCAAUUAUGGAUACCUGAGCCAAUUAUGUCAAAUUUUGUUUGGUCCUCUGACUUCUAUUAUUAUUAUUAUUAUCUUUUUCAAAUUGCCAGACUCCUGACGAUGUUGAGAAGUUGCGUAGAAUUGGAGUGAAAACUAUAUUUUGCUUACAACAAGAUUCGGACCUUGAGUAUCCUAAUCAAUUUGUUUAAUUAGAUGCACUUUCUGCAUUUUAGACAAAGACCAACAACUAUUUAGUCUAGCAAAUGAACAAUUGUGUUUCCUUACAACUGCUUGGAUAUUUUGGAGUUGAUAUUAAGGCCAUAGGAGAAUAUGCCAAGACACAUGAUGUUCAACACUUGCGUGCUGAGAUAAGGUUAGUUAUGUCAUGAAAUAUUUAUAUCAUAACUGUCAGAAAUAAUUAUGUUUUUAAACUGGCAGGAAUAAAAACAAACAAAGGAUGCUUUGAAUACUAUGAUAUUGAAUUGCAAGAUAAAAGGUUGACCUGGUGGUAAAAGUAGAAGGGAGGGUGGGAUAAAUCGUGGGUUCAAAUCCCCACACUAACAAAAACACUAACAUAUUAACAAUUGACAUUUGCCAAAGAAAAUAAACUAUGAUAUUACUCUUGAGUUUCAAUAUAUUGUACUGAUAUUUAAAAUAUUCUAAUAUACAAUCAAAACAUUGUGAGACAUCUUGUUGAUAUUUUAAUAAUAAGUGCAUGAGGAAACCCACUUUGAACUGAAUUAUUAUUAAUUUGAAAUUUUUUUCCUACAAAAUUAUUCUUUAAAACUAUAGGUAGAAUAAAUCCUGCACAAAAUUGUUAAUUUUUAUUUCUUUUCUAAUUAUAUUUUUUUCUUACAAAUCAUGGAUAUAUAAAAAAAUCAUUUACAAGUUUAUUUUUAUGAGAAUGAGAGGAAUGAUUUUAUUCAUUACCUCUAGAUCUUAUCACGAAUGAAAAAGAUUAAGAUGUAAAAGUCAUGGAAUUUUUUAAAGUGAUUGUGUUCAAAUAUCGAUCAUUUGUGUUUUAUUGUAUGAUCUAGAUUUUCUUUUCUCGUUUUCGUAUAAAAAUGACUUCCUCACAAGAUAGACCCUAUGUGUGUGUCACACAUAGUAACUUUCUCACAAUUAUGUACUGUUCUAUAUCUUUAGUUAGGGUUUAAGUCGUAUUCUACUUGUUUUAUGGUAGUAGAAGGCAACUACUUCGGCAGAAAACCUCAAAUAUGGUAGUGGUAUGCCACAUGUUUUUUUCUGAGUGAGGCAAUGAUGUGUGGAACUUGGUUGGGAAUAAGAUCCUGGUUUUCUAUCCAGGUCUUCAGUCAGUUUGUUAGCAAGUAGUUAUACUUAUCCUAACUCUGGAUGUGUAAAUAUGCACUCAAAUAUGGACAAAAUUUUGUUUGAUAAUAUAAACCUACAAAUACUGAUGCACUUUUAUGAUACGUUUUUUUUGAAUAUCCUAUCACAUGAAAAUUCUACAUUUCCUUUUUUCCCUUGCUCAAACAGAUACUAGAUAUAUGUUUUCAUAACCUCCCCCAUCCCCCUAAAAUCUUCUAGAAAAAAAAUCUGAGAUAUGUUUUAUAAAUUGUUGCCAAAAGGGGAUUUUGAAGAUUUAGGUAUUUGGUUGUGAGCGAGCCAAAAACUGAAGUAGUUAGGUCAGUUCUUUGUGUGUGUUUUGUGUAACACUAGUUGGUGAUGACACCUUCAUAUAAUAAUUUAUAAUCUCCUAGUAUAUAUGGGUAUUUUAGUAAACAUGGCAUUUGUAACUAAACAGUGAUGUAUUCUGCAUUUUACAUUUUGUUGCCUGUCUUUCAUGUUCUUCUUCACAUUGUGUGAUGAUCUAACAUGGAUGUAACAGGGACUUUGAUGCAUUUGAUCUACGGAUGCAGCUUCCAGCUGUAGUUAGCAAAUUAUAUAAGGCAGUAAAUUCCAACGGAGGUGUAACAUAUAUUCAUUGCACUGCUGGACUUGGAAGAGCUCCUGCUGUUGCAGUAUGUCCCUUGAUUUCAUUUAUGUGAUACUUGUUACUCUUAGAAUAUUUAACCUGAAACAGUGUUUUGGUUAGUUCUGUGUAUGGCAUAAAGGAAAUAAUUUCCUGUUUAAGAAGUUAAAUACAGAAAGAGCAGGUGUUGAAUGUAUCCAGUAACCUCUCACAUACUGAAUGGUUUCAAAAGGUUUUAACUUAAAUAUAUUGAUACAAAAGAAACACCUAUAAAUCAUUUUCAAUGACGAUGUUGUUGAACACCCCCAUAAUUGAGAAAACCCCUAGCUCGCCCUGUUGCAGCCCAUCAAAGUUGGCUGUCAAUGCCUUGGAAAGGACUACCUGCAAAGGACUGACCGAAAUUGGUGAGUGAAGUUGUCACAGUUUUGGCACAUAGGGGAUUGGAGUCUAAGCAGUGCUUAGAAAGGUUUAUUUGGACAAGUUUUUCCAUAAGCACUUCUAAGAAAAAAAAAUUAAAUGAGUUUUUCCGUAAGCUAAUUUGUAGAUACUCUCGUGCUUCUCUAAAUUCUUAUAUUUAACUGUGAAUAAGUUAAUUGACCUUAUAGAGAGACUUAUUUCUUUUUUUCCUUCCUAUUUCUUUUAGAGAAAUUUGCCUAAACAAACAAUAGUAAGAAUUUUGGCUUGUGAUUAGGAAGUCACAGGUUAUAGUUACAGAAACAAACUCUUCUCAUGAUUAAGGCUAUGUGCAUCUGACCCUCCCCACUCCCCAAGGUUUCUCAAUAGUGGGAGAGUGGGAGCCUUAUGCAUUGGCCGACCCUUUUUAUUGUCCACUGUUUGUGCCUUGGGCUAUUAGAAUCGUUUGUCUUGAUGUAGUCUGGACCUGUGCCAUCUGGUUACAUUCACUCCUAAUUUCAUCUGUAGAUGUUUAUUGAAGAUGCCAUUGUUUUUAUUAAGAAAGGGUAGAAAAAAAAAUCCUUUAUUUUCUCAGUAGAGACGUCAACAUAAAUUAUGACCUUUGUGGACUCCUAAUCAUUUAAAUCUAUGACGAAGAUAGAGAUGAAAAAGUUAGUGGUGUCUGAUUUUCUUUUUCUCAAAUAUUUUGGCAUCUCGUGUUUAAUGAUUUAUAUUUUUUUUAUAAUUCUGCCACAUUGGUGUGUGUGUGUGUGUGUAAGAUUAUUUACUAAUAAUUUGUUUUGGCUCAGACGGCCUACAUGUUUUGGGUUCUGGGUUAUACAUUUAAGGAGGCUCAUACACUACUUCAGGUAACUCUAUGCUCAAUACUUCCCUUUUUAUUGUUUCACAUUUUAAGGGCACGAGGAUUCUUGGUAGAUAAUAUGCAGCAUGUUUUUCAGUACCCCGUAUUGCCUGGAUUAAACAAAAUAAUUUUUCCAUUUUUAUUUUCUUCUCAAUGACUUUGACAAAGUUCCUUUUUAGGCUUGGUAAACCUAUUAGUGAGUUUGUUCCACUAAUUUCCUUGACUCACAAGUAACUCUUGAGUAGCAAUUACCGAUUGUGUAGCAAUUACCGAUUCUUCAAUAGUUACAGUUGAAUCACCAGUUUCUAAACUUAGGUAUCUGUGAAUUAUGGAACUGGGCAGUUUACUUACUGACAGAUUUAUUUUCUUACAUCUAGUUUACAAGCACUCUUAUUUAAUUUAUUUUCCUGAGUUCUUUUACUAAAAAAUGUGUCAUAUUCUCUAACUGAUGUAUACCUAAAGAAAUUAAUUUAAUAUCAUCAUUUUCUUUUUCUGCAUGUCAGAAUUUUCAUUCUAGCAGUUUCAUAUUUGAUAAUUUGAGGUUUAUAAUUGUUCUGAACCAAUUUUAGAUGCAUUUGGUAUAAAGAGAGAAAUGAAAUUGGAAUUUGGUCAAGUUUUCUUGUGCCCUUCUUUUUAUUCUUUUGUCUUGUAGAGCAAAAGGGAGUGCUUUCCGAAACUAGAUGCCAUUAAAAGUGCGACAGCUGACAUUGUGAGUCAAUUUACUUUUCUAUAUAUAUUGUGAUUUAAACUUUGAAUGGGAUCUUUUUUAUGUUGUAUAAUUGUAUUAAUACUGGUGUGAUCUUGCUGAUAAGUCUUUUCUCUAUAAAAACUGACAUAAUUAAUUUAGAUGUUUCAAGAUGAGAAUUUGAUUGAAACUGUUCUUCAUUUUUUUAUCUUUUUAUUGUUUCCCUCUCAUUUUUUUUUUAAAAGUCACCUUUGAACAUUAUUUAUUUGUGGUACUCAGCUUACAGGCCUCAGUAAGAAACCUGUCACUCUGUCAUGGGAAGACAGCAAUUGCUCUAGGGUGGAAAUUUCCGGACUUGAUAUUGGAUGGGGGCAGGUGAUGAUUGAGUCUCGUUUUGUUCAGAUUUAAGAAUAUUAGUUCCUCUAUUAUAGUACGUGUAACGGCAUUAAGUUACAUGGAGAUAUUAUUAUAUGCACCAUCAUCCUUAACUGCUUCGGUUAUAGCCAUUUAUCAUUUUGUUGUGAAACAUGUUCACAUGUAUGAAUUUUCUUUUUCCUGUUGGGACUUUUAUGUUGUGUAUUCAUAAUUCAUUACCUUAAAGACUAUCUUACUAAUAUUGUGUGUACUCUUGGUUGUAGUUCCUCUUAAGGCAACUGUGAUUUAGAGUCCUUUUGAUAAUUUUACUUAGAGGUGGCUGAUGAUGUUUCUGUGUCAAAAUAUUUGAGAAGGGUUUACCAUUACAUUCUUAGAUAUAUUCAAACUGUUUAGAUGAGAAAUAAUUUGAUAAUGGAAGUCUUUAUUAUAAUGUAUAUGCUUGGCCAAUUUUGCAUCUUCAAUUGUCAUAUUUCUUUCCUUUUCUUCCAUUGUCACUUAUGAUCUCAUCUGUAAAUCCUGUGUCUUCAUCUAGCUUGUUUAGCUCCCAUUUCCUAGUUUAAAAAACAUUUUAAAGUAUCUAUUGUUUAUUAAGUAGAUGACACAUUUUAUUCAACUCGGAGUAACUAAUAGCUGUUACCAAUUCUCACCGCUGCUGCUAUCAUGAAUUCAGACAAAAUAGGAGAAAAAUAAUAUAUCAGUAGAAAUUGGAUGUUUGGUCCUGGGAAGUUCAAAGUUAAACUAAACCACUUCUGACAUCUUGCCAAAAUGAUGUUCUCAACGCAUGAUAUGAAGUCCCCAUCCCAUGUCAGAUUCGAAGACUUUUUAUAUUUAAAAUUAUCUGAAUUACAUCGUUUGACCUAUGUUUUGAACAUAUGCCUUGUUUAUACGAAUUCAUGCAAAAUCUUUACUUAAUCUUGAUCUCUUUUCAGAGAGUACCCCUAAAUUUUGAUGACAAAUCGGGCUUGUGGUACCUCGAGAGGGAAUUACCUGUAAGUGAAAUUGUUAAAAUUGGGCUGCUAUUACUUGUCUGUUUAAAGCUUGGUCUUAACAUUGAACGCUCAAUAACUUAUCGACUCAGCAGCUGUGAUGUUAGCAAUAGAUUGAUGAGAAACAAGUUUAUCGUCUUAUUUACCAGGAAGGACGCUAUGAGUACAAGUACAUUGUUGAUGGGGAAUGGACAUGCAAUAAAGAUGAGCUUGUAACCUCUCCCAACAAAGAUGGCCAUGUCAACAAUUUCAUUCAAGUAAGUUAUAAACUUCAACUAAAUAGCUCAGAAAAUAAAUUUUGUGAUUGGUAACUUACUCCUUCGAAUCCUAGGAAAUUGCUAGAAGCUAUAAUCAGUACUGAUAAUCAGCUCAAAGAUAAAAAGAACACAAAUGUACCACAACAUUUCUGGUUCACAACCAUGAUAUUUUUUUAGAGUUAAAAAUUGAUCGUUAUUGACAUUGAUACCUUAAAAAAAGUUUCAAUCUUACUAGAAUGAUCACAUUUUAACAUAAUUUAAAAACAAUAGAGUUAAUAUCACAACCAAGUUAACAUAUUUAUUAAAUGUUGGCUAUAAAGAAUAUUGGAGGAACCAAAAACUUUUUUAACCCUCUUUUUUAUCUCGUAUUUUAGCCCAUCACAUCAUAUUUCACCAUCUGACUCUAAAUUAUUAGUUUGUGCACAUUCUAUUUGUCUGUUAUUGAUUUCUCAUAUUUCAUCCUCUUCUAACAGGUCCGUGAUAAUAGCAGCAGUGAUCGUGUUUCCCUUCGGGAGAGAUUCUCUUCUGAUGAUCCUGAUCUUACAACGGAGGAACGAGUGAGAAUAAAGGAGUUUCUUGAAGCUUGUUCUGAUGAGGAUCUGUGACCCAUCAAUGCACGUAUCUGUUGAUAUGUAAAGUACCAUAUGCACGCAUACAUGUUAUUUAAUAAAAGGUUGAAUAUAAACCUUCUGAUAAGAUCUCUGCUUCAGUAAUAAAGCUGGCUUGACUAGUUUAUCGAGUUCCAUAGUAUUCAGAAGUCUCUAGUAUUAUUUAAAUAAUAGGAUACCCUAGGAUAAACCAUGAUUUUCAACGUACCAUGAAGUAGAAUGUCACUUCAUAAGAUGAGUUUUACAUUUAUAGCCACAUAGAUGUCAAAAGUUGUAAAUUAGAUAAAACUUUUAAGUACAUUAAAUAUCAUUAUUAGGUUCCAUAGUAGGGGUUGCCUAAUGGUGAAUGAUAUGAAUAAGGUUACUUUGCAUAUGUCGGAAUUAGUUAUUUUUAUGUUAUUAAGACGUAUUGAAAGGGGGUGAAACAAUUUUAAUUGGAAUAUUUGUGGGAGAAUGAGGUUGAUUUUUCUUUUGAGGGUGUAACAUGGAGUGCAAGGAUGGAACAAAUCACAUUUUUAUGAUGAUCGUCUUAUAAUGUUGCAGUUUUUUAUAAUGGUGUUGAUAAUUAUAUUGUGUUUAUGACUAAGAUGAGUGCAUAGAUCAGAGAAACAAUCUUGAGAAUAAAAUAUGAAUUUUAUAUAUUUCAUUAUAAAAAAAUUAUUAAAUAUUAUUAAAUAGUAAUUAAAAUUAGAUAAAAAAUAAUUAGUUACUGUAUUAACUAGAUUAUAUACUCUUUUAGAGGUUAAAAAAUUAUUAAUAUCUAAAAUGGUUUUUAUUAUUAAUAAAAAAUUAAAAAAUAGUUUCUAAAUUGGUAUAUAAAUUAGUUAUCACAAUUUUAGUUACUAAUAUUUUAGGUUCUAAAUUGGUCUUUUAAAAAUUAAUUUAAAAUAUUAAUAAAUAAGAUUUUGAUAAUUAAUGGUUAGAUACUAAUUUAAAAACUAUUUCAAAUAACAAUAUUUUUUUAAUAUUUAAAAUAUCUCUGGUUUAAUUCAAUAAUAAUUAAUUAUUUUAGUUUUUAAAAUUAAUUAUAAUUUAAUUAUUUUCUUAAAGUAUUUUUACGUGGUCUUUUUUAAUUUUUAUAUGUUUUUGUGACUAGAGUAUCUUAGAGACAUCAUUUUUAUUAUUUGAUUACAUGUCUUAUCAAAUGAGCCUUGUUAGUGAAUAGACAGAGUAGUCCUAGUCCUUGUUAUAAAUAAACUUAUAUUGAUUUUUGUCAAAUAUUAAGAUUCAUUUUAUAGAAAAAUAAAUAAAGUUUUGUUUUGUGAUAAAUUGUUAAUUCAAGUUGGUAAAUCAUUCUCAACUUAAUAUCAUCUUCGAGUGUAACGUCUUUUUCAUCUUCUUAUUUUCUUUCGUGUAUCCUAAUUUUUAAUGAUAUGUUGGAAAUGGUUAUAAACAAAAUCUUUGACUAUGAGUUCACUAUUUGGUUACUAUAACAAGGUUUAAAUCCAUGGAAAUUAUGAAUAAUUGAGCUGAAUUAGUAAUUUGGUGUUUAAUUUAGAAUUUGGUUACAAAUCUAAUUUUUUUUCUCUAUUUUCAUUUCAAUUUCUAAUUUUUGUCAUGAUGUGUGUUUUUAAUUCCAUUAGUAGUUAAUUUUUGUUGUCAAUAAUUAUGUUCUUAAUUUCGUUGCUAGUUGCGUUAAUAAAUCAUAGGUUAAUAGUAAUGUUUUGGUUUGAGCUUAUAAUAUAUGAUGUUCAUUCAAACUAUUUUGUUGUUUGGGUCAUGUUCCAUUUGUUGUUUACACUUUCUUCUAUUUCAAUUAGUUGAACAUAUAUUGUAAAAAGGAAGGUAUAUAGUAAUUUUUCUAUCAUAUCUAAUACAACAAAUCAUAAUUAAUUCUUAAUUUGAUUCCACUUCUAGUUGAAUUGAUUAAUUGAUUUCAAACACAUAAAUUAAAAGUUUAUACUCAGUGAAAAUCAUACUUUAAUGUUGUGCUUAAGUUUAAAACUUAAACAAAAACAAAAGAAACAAAUAAUACUUAGGCGAGAUGAAUUAGAAAAUUAAAAUAUAAAACAAAAAAGGAAAUCAUAAGAUGAACAACAUGCCACAAUCAUAAAUAAUUGGUGAGUCAAAUAAAAUUAGUUACCUUUAAUUAAACAUUCAAACAUAAAAGAUCAAAAACUAUAGUUAAGAAAUUAGAGAAAAGUUAUCUCAUAAAUGAAGACUUAAUUCGUAAAAUGAAUCUUAAAUUUUGAUUAAAAAAAAGUUAACAUAAACCUGUUAAGUUUAUCCAUUAAUAAAAUCUAUCAAAUAAGUGAUAUAUUUAGCUAAUAGAAAAUGAUGUCCAUGAAAAACUUUAAUUACAAAAGUCUUUUAUAUAUGAUAUUGAGUAAUUCUAAUGUUUUUUUUUUUAUAUAAUUAUGGUUGAAAAUGUGUGGGAAUCCAAUUUUUUUUAAUCUAUAUUUAACAUCUGAAUGAGAUGAAAUUAUUGAUAAGAUUGUUUGAGGGGUGAUUACUAGAUGAGUAAUUUAACUUGAUACAAGUUAACGUGGAUAUUGAAUUAUGAGAUGUGUUAAUAAAAUAUUCAAAUUUUAUUGAAUACUUGAAUCAUAUAGAUAAAAAUAUAAAGUGAUAAAAAAUGGACAAUUGUUUUUCAGUAAUUCGAAAUUGAAUAAUCAUUGACAACUAAAUAUAUAAUGAAUGAUAUAACAAAUGUUAGUCUUAAAUAUUUAAAUACAACACAGUAUUUAUUCUUAUAAUUAUUUAUAAUUAUUUGUAAGAUUAUUUGGUAGGAAAUGAACAUGUAUGAUUUACUUUUUAUUAAAUGAAUUACGUGUCUUCUUAUAUUAGUUUCAUAUUAAAUUAUGUUAUUUGGAUAAGUCACUGCAUCGAUUGUUGACCAAAUGGAACCAUAUGACUUUAUAGUUGGUCAACUAAACUUCAUAUUCAGACAUGAAUAAACAUAGAAUUAAUAAUUCAUAUGCUGACAUGGAUUAAAUCCUGACGGCAAAAGUUAGUAUGAUCUCUGAAAGAACAUGGACAAUUAAAGGAAAGAAAAGAGAAGAAUAUGAGUGAUAAGAUAGGGAAGGUGGAGAAAGUGGAGAAUGAGACAUGGAGAUAAGGGUAAUGGAAUACCCAACAGGAGAGGAGGAACAAGGAUAAAAAGGGGUGAGUAACUAGAGAAAGGGACAACAUUUUUUGGAAAAGGAGAGAAGGAGAGUUCGAGAAUAAAAGGAAAGAAGAGAGUUCGAAAAGGAGGGAAAAGUGAGGAGAGUUCGGGAUAAGAAGGAGAGCAAAGUUGCUUUCUUCGAUAGCUCGGUGAGAACGUCACCCGACGAGAAUAUUUGGCAUCCACCGUGGGGCCGAUAAAACUGGUCCCACCCAUCACAAAGAGGAGAUUAUGAAUUGUCUAUUGACGGAGAUGGGUACCACGCAUCAGCAAGCUUGGGGGGAGAAUAACGCACCCACCCUCCAACAAAUCAUGGAAACAAUGUUAGUAUUACAACGUGAUAAUGAAGAAGUCAAGCAACAAGCACGAGAAUUCCAGGAAGAGCAAGAUCAUCUGCGGGAAAAGGCUCGGGUAGACAAGGAGGAGUCCCGGGCCAAGCAGGAUAGACUACGAGAGGAGGCGGACCGUGCAAGGAAGGCGAUGGAGGACACCGUCCGGAUGAACGAGGAGUUACAGACUACAAAUGAUGAACCAUGGAGGGUUGUACACAUGCAAGUACGAAGGGGCACUCAAGUCUGUUCUACUGACAUCUCGGCACGAGAUAAUCCCAGGCCUUUCUCGUAGGCCAUUAUGGAGAAGCCAGUUCCACCACACUUCAUCACUCCCAGACUAACACUUUUCUCGGGGGUGGAGGACCCCGAGGGACACUUAAAAGCGUUAUGAACCCAAAUGAUUAUUUUAGGAGGAUCUGACGUGGUUUGUUGUAAAAUAUUUGUAGGGGCGCUCAUCGGGAUCGUCCUUCAAUGGUUCAGUGGAUUCCCUAAGGGCAGCAUCACAUCGUUCCAAGAAUUUUCUAGUAUGUUCAAAGAAAAAAAAUUCAUUAACAAGAUAGAACCCCCUCGCCUUGCCAACCUAUUUGAUGUACGACAAAGAGAAGGGGAGUCUUGCAAAGACUAUCUCAACCGGUUUUGUGUCGUCUCUGUAUGUUUGAGAAAUUCGAAUGAAGAAUUGGUAGUAGACGCGUUCGUGAAGGGCCGUCGAGCAAGUUGGUUCAGUGAUUCACUAAUCUGGAAUAGGGUCGAAUCACUAACAGAGAUUCGCGAGAGAGCAGCAGUUCACAUCGAGAUGGAGGAGGCCAUAAAAAGGAAGAGAGUAAACGAACUACAAAGAUAGGGAAGAUAUAAGGAUAGCUCGCACAACCACAAAACAAAGAACGAUGAAUUACCGACUGGAAGAAGACCAAAGCAGAAAUACGUCUCAUACGUAGCCAAAAGCAAUAUGGAGAGAAGCCAUCCUGUGAGUUAUGAUCGGCCUAAACCCCAAUGCAACACGACAAUAAAAUCUCUUUUGAGCAAAGAGGAUGUGAUAAAGAAACUUUAGUUCCUCCCAAAAUAUCGAGCAAGUUUUAGGAGCAAAAAAGGGAAGCUUGGUGCGAAUUCCAUCAGGCUCGAGGCCAUGAUACUGAAAGAUGCAUGACCUUGAAAUACCAGCUCGCCAAGCUGGUCAACGAAGGUUUUCUGACGAAGUAUCUCAAGGGGUUCGAUGUCAACCAGAAGGGGAAGAGUCAGUCACAGGAACACAAUCACGAAAUCCCUGUACUGGGAGAUCUACAUAUGAUAGCAGACAGAUUUUCAGGAGGAGGAACUUCUUCAUUAACCCGGAAACAAUAUUCAAGAUUGGUAUUGAUGGAAGAGGCCCAAUCUCAGGCUCUAGUUCAAGCCUAACAACUAGGUCCAUGGAAAAAAGGAUUUAAGAAGAUUGGGACUCUACUACUGAUGGUAGAGAAACUUUUCUUUAUAUGUUCAAAGAGGGCCACAAGAAGUAAAGGCCAAGCCAUGGGAGCUAGUUUCUUUAUCAUUGGGUAGGAAGUUGACCUAUCUUCUAGAACUUUGCUCCUAGGGUGUGGCAUUUACUUUAGUCAAUACCCUAGUUGCCCAUCUUUCGUGUAUUCCUCAUCCUACCCUUGCUCCUUGUUCUCCAAGGCACUUGCACCUAUAUAAUAAGGUGCAUGGCUCAUGUUUUGUAAGAUCAAUUUAUAUGAGUAAAUGCUGCCAAAUUUUUGCAAGUUUCUACUCCCUUGUCUAGCCUCUCUAGGUUAGACAUCUUGAUCUUCACCUUUCUCUAAGUGAUAUGACCCAACCAAUCACUUUCCACACAUUUCAUGCACCUAUAAGGAACCCAUAGCUCUAUAUGAGUCAUCCUUGAUCCAUCACCUCAAUUGUUUCUGCCACCUUCACCUCAUUAUUCAAUAAGAACAACACAUCUUUUGGUAUCAACCCAUCAGGUAUUGUCCCUGUAAGCUCGGUCACCCCUUUUAGUUCCUUCUCUUUGUUUCAUUCCUGCAAAUUUAGAAGAUGUGUACCCUCAUGAAAAUGAUCUUGUCGUGCUCUCGGUCACAACAAUGGGGCGGAAGGUGCAUCGAAUGCUCAUCGAACAAGGAAGCUUGACGGAUGUCAUGUUCUAGGAUACCUACCUCGGCCUUCAGAUUCCUCCUGACCAACUUCAACCUUUUUAUGGUUGCCUCGUCGACUUUAACAUCGACCAGUUUGAGGUAUAGGGAUAUCUGAAAUUGCGGAUGACCUUUUUGGAUGGAGACGCAACAAGCACUAUAACCAUCAAGUACAUAGUUGUCAAUGUUGCGUCAUGCUACAUUUUUCUCCUUGGCCGACCAUCGUUAAACAAGCUAGGGGUGGUGGUGUCCACUUCACAUCUAAAACUGAAACUACCCUCGCUAGAAGGGGAGGUGAUUACCAUGAAGGUAGACCAGAAAGUUGCUUGGAAAUGCUAUGAAAAUAGCCUCAGAAGCCGACGAGGCAUAUAUAUGAUUACGAAUUGCACAAAAGAAGCAUGGUCAGAAACUUGAAUCUAACAUGAAAAAUUGAAUGUAAUUGCCUCGCAACAUACGAAAUAAACAAGUCGUCUAGUCUCAAACAUGUAAGCCUCUUCGCCUAGCACGAUUCGGCUAGAGGUUGGGGGACGUGUACUGUUCGGAUAAGUCGUUGGAUUGGUUGUUGACAGAAUGGAACCCACCCAACCUUAUAGUUGGUCAACUAAACUUCAUAUUCAGGCGUGGAUAAACAUAGAAAUAAUAAUUCAUAUAGUGAUGUGGAUAAAAUCCUGAGGACGAAAGUGAGUAUGACCUUCGAAAGAACAUGGACAAUUAAGGGGGAGAAAUGGGAGAACAUGAGUGAUAAGAGAGGGAAGGUGGAGAAAGUGGAGGAAGAGACGUGGAGAUAAGGGUAAUGAAACACCUAACAAGAAGGGAGUAACAAGGAUAAGAGGGGGCGAGUAACUAGAGAAGAGGACAACAUUUUUUUGGAAAAAGGAGAGAAGGAGAGUUCGAGAGUAAAAGGAGAAAAGAGAGUUCAAAAAGGAGGAAAGAGUGAAAAGAGUUCAAGAUAAAAAGAAGAGCAAAGUUACUUUCUUAAUCGACAACUCGGCGAGAACGUUACCCAACAAGAACAAAAUAUAUAUAUAUAUAAUAAUAAUAAUAAUAAACUAAGAAAUUAUGUUUUAGAUAUGUGGUUUGUUGUAUGGUUCAUCGGUAUAUAAAACAUUCAUAUUUAUCUUGUGCACAUGUAUUUAAUGUUAUCUAAAUUUUAUCACAAUAAAUAAUAAAGAACAUUUAUAACUAAUAUUGUUUAACCUUCACAAAAUUAGCCAAACUUUAAAGAAACAAAUUAUUUCAUGUUCAUUUAAAAUAUCACACAAUGCAAAUUUUGAAAAUCUUUAUUAUUAUCACAAUUUAGAAGAAACUAAUGACUCAUUUUAUUUUUUCACAACCAAUUAUUGUUGAUAAAUGAAUAAAUAAUUUUAACCAUUUUUUUUAUUUAAGGAAAAGAAAAAUGAAUAAAUAUGAAGAAAUUUAUUAUUUGGAUUUUUUUAAAGUUUAAAAUCUAGAAAAAAAUCACCUAAUUUUUUUUUAAUUAUGUUUUUUAAUUAAAUCAUAAUGUAACAACAAAAUUUUGCAAUAUAAAUAGACAUAUCCGUAGAUAUAAAAAUAAAUAUGAAAUACACAAUUAUCAUUUAAGAAUAUUUUCCUUGUAACAAAAUAAAUAAUUAUCUUGGAAGAAAAAAAUGCAAAAUAUCAAAACCAUCAUUUAAGACUCAUAUUAUAUGUUUGUCACAUUAAUAUCUAAUCUUUUGUUCACACUUAUGAUUUGAUGGAAAUAAUGCCGAAGAAAACUAAGAACAUAAAAUAAAAAAUAUUUUUAAUAACAAAGUAUCUUUGAGAUUCAUUAAAAGAAUUAUCUGUUAAUAAAAAAAUGUAUUAUCUAUAUUUAUAGCAUUAUAUAUAAAAAUAUAUAAUUUGGUAAUUUCCAUUUUAGUAUCAUAUUUUAAUUGAACAAUUUUACUCUUUAAUAAAUAAAUAAAUAAUUAUUUAUUUAAUGUAAUAAAUAAUUGAAUAACUUUUAUUUUAUAUUAAAAUAAAUAAAUAAAUUAUCUUUUGAAAAUAAUAAUUAUAUAAAUUGUAAUACUAUUUUUACAAAAUUAAAUAAUUUUUUAAAUUAUAUUUAUUUUAUUUUUAAUUAAUAUUCAUAAAAUAAAUUUUAUUAUAAAUUAUAUAUAUAUGUAUAUUUUAAUUUACUAAAAUUAUUCACUUGGCAUUUUCGCUAGUUAUUAUAUAAAGAGAAUAAUAUUUUAGUGGAAUAAUUUUUUUAAUUAAUAAAUAAUUUAUUUAUUUUAAAAUAAUUAAAAAAAUAUUUUAAAAAAAUACCUAUCGCAUAAUGUUUCCAAUAAUAUUCCUACAAAAUUAUACAUUUAAAUUAUAUUAUUAUCAUAUUUUUAAUUAAUAAUAAAUUAUAUAUUUUAAAAUUAUAUUAUUUUAAUAUAAUAAAAAUAUGAAUACAAUGCAUCUAUAUGCGCUAGUUCUGAUGAUACAAAUUUUAUUAAAUAAUUCCAAAAUUAAACUUUUAAGCAAUAACUUCUUUUACAUCUAAUCUUUAAAUUGAUUUACAUAAGUAAACAAACCCAGCCUAAAUAACAGAUUAUAAUUAGGUGAAAUUAAGAAGUAAAAGACAUAAUAUUUUCUAAGAAAUAGUAUUUUUUUUUUACUUUAUACUUUUUAUUACUUGUCUCUUCAUAUAUUUUUAUAAUAUCUAAAUCCAAUAAUAACUUUGAAUUAAAAGGGUGGUUGUUUCACUAUUAUCUAAAUUUAAAUAAAAUAAAAUUUCAAAAUUAACCCCUCAAACACGCAAGCCCCGCCACAUCCCGAAAACACGAAACGCGAGAUUUAAAAAUCUCCCUCCAAAAUGAAAACUCAUCCUGCCACGUCAUCGAUCCGCGCAAGCUAAACCCAACCAAUCAGCUUCCAUCCACCAUUCCUAUAUAAACCACUCCUUUCUCUCAAAUCAUCAUUCACAUUAUUUCUUCAAUUCAAUUCUUCUUCAACAAAUCCAUGGCUGCAAAGGGCGAGAAGAAACCUGCGGAGAAAAAGCCUGCAGAGAAGGCUCCAGCUCCAGCGGAGAAAACUAAGGCGGAGAAGAAGAUUCCAAAGGAUGCUACCUCUGGAGAGAAGAAAAAGAAGAAGAAGGCAAAGAGUGUGGAGACCUACAAAAUCUACAUCUUCAAGGUACUUAAGCAAGUCCACCCUGACAUUGGGAUCUCCAGCAAGGCCAUGGGAAUCAUGAACAGUUUCAUCAAUGAUAUUUUUGAGAAACUAGCUCAGGAAUCUUCUAGACUUGCCCGCUACAACAAGAAGCCCACCAUCACCUCCCGUGAAAUCCAGACUGCUGUCCGUCUUGUCCUCCCUGGCGAGCUCGCCAAGCAUGCUGUCUCUGAAGGAACCAAGGCUGUUACCAAAUUCACCAGCUCUUGAGUGUGUCACCAAAUAUUAGGGUUUUUAUGUACACUUUUGAAUAGAUUUUGUGCCACAAUAAUUUUCUGAGAAAUAUAAUUUCAUUUAUAUUUUGACUUCAUAUAUAGUUGUCUUUUAUCAUACAAUCAUCAAUAGCUGUUAAUUAAUCAUUCUUAUAUUUUUCUUCCUGUGGUGAAUUUCAUGUUGAAAAUUCAUGUGGUGUUAGUGGGAUUUAUAACUUUGGUGACUUAAUAGUGUUCACUAGCAUUACUUGGUUAUGCUGCAUCAAGGUGCUUGUGAUUUUUGAAUGACUGUUAUUGUUUUGUAUUUUAAAUUGUUGAGUAAGACCCUAGUGUUUCAUUUUGGUUAAUAUGGUGUGAUUAUAUUCCAUUCCUUUAAAUUUUGAUGGAUUGGGUUUUCCCUUUGUUAGAUAGUUGCAGGUUGAAAUUGUGGCUGUGCCUCUUUCCUCAGGGAAUGGUGUGGGUAUAUCAUUUGCCAAGGUAGUGUAUUUUUCCAUUGAAUUGGGUAUAUUCCAUUGAUUAAAAUCAACUUUAGGACCAAUUGACUGGCAAAUUUUUCUAUAUUAGUUUCUUAUAUUCUCUGUGUCAGUGAUGUUAGAACUUAUUUUAAAAAAUGGUUUGUUGCAUUGCACUGUGGGUGACAAGUUGUUGUAGUUGUCUGAUUAGCUGUGGAAGUUGAUUAUUUAUGGUGCAUAUGGACAUUAAAGAAAUAUACUCCAUCAAAGAUAAAAUUCACAGUUAGGUGAUAAGUAGUGUUUGGAAAGAACUAGUAUAAGCUAUGAUUCGAAGUCAAAUGCAGUCCCUAAUAAAGUUGUAAAAAAACUCUGCACCAAGGUCGUGUAUCCACAAUAACCUUCAAAUUCCUGUUUUGAAUUAAUCUACCAAUUUCUACAUGAUUUGAAUUGCCUAAAUUACUUCCAAAGGUGGAGUUUGAGACUCAAAUAGCAAGAGAGCACAGAAAAAAAGUGUAUAAUGAGCAUUGAAUACUGUUCAACAUAAUCAUGUAUAAAUUAUUUUUUUCACUGUUGAAAGUUAACAUUUCUAUGGCUUUGUUUAGAAAAGGUGGAAGUGGAAAGAGAAAUAAUGUUGUUUGAUAUAUAGAAAAUGAGUGUAUUUGAGAUGAAAAGAGUGAAUAUCAUAUAAUUGAUGUGAUUUUAUUGUAGAAAAGAGUUAAUUGUCUUAUUUAAUUAUUUAUAAAAGUACUCUUGUCUUGAAAUUGUGAUGGAAUCUAACUAAAAUAAAAAUAAAUGUAUAGAUAUGAAAGUUAAAACAUGUAUUUAUUUAUAUACUUGAAUAUUUAUAUAUUUAAAUAGAAAAUUGUAAAUGAAAAAAAAAGUUUUUGUAAGAGCAAACUUUUUUAAAACAUUUUGUAAUUAAAUUGUAAAUAUUCUAGAUUUAAUAUAAAAUACGUUAUGGUUCAAUAAAUCUCUAACUGAUGGAUCCAUUUUUGGGAUUGUUAGUUGAGUUUUUUACCUAUUUUUUUAUUUAACUUAUCUUAAUCUCACCUCUUUAUAAAAAAUUAUGAUCAUUUAAAAAAAAAUUCCUACUAAUAUUUUACAAAUUAAAAUAUAUCACUAUUUUACUUGACUCAUUCAUCAAAUAUACACUAAAUAAAUUUAUCACAAAAUCUAUUACUAUUCUAUAUACCGUAUGAUAGCAUCCAAUUAUAAUAUAAAUUGAAUAUUGUGUACACACUCAAGUGGGAAGAAAAUCCAAUACAGUAUACCUACGCUUCCAAAUCUCCUUAAGGCCCCGUUUGGAUCCAGGGGUGGUACUGUUGUCGACGAUGGAAGUCACAACAGCACCCCGUUUGGAUCCAUGCAUUGUUACGGGUGAGGGUGGAAGGAAGGAGAAAGGUGAAUGAAUUCUCCUUCUGCUUAAAGAUGAAGAGAAAGUUGCACUGUAGUGUGGGAGUGCCAAGUCAUCCACAGGAACUUACAAUGUUGCCCUUGCUUUUGCUGGAAUCAAGAGGAACAGUGACCCUGCAUGCAUGCCACAUGAAACCAUGAGAUUCCUGACUUGGCUCAGGAAUCGUUUGACUGUGUGUGAAACUGUGAAAGGUGAGAGAAUGCAGUGGGUGAGGUAGGUGGGCGUGAAGCUGGCUAUAUAACAUCAUGAAGGUGGUUCCUCCAUUCACAUAAAAGCAAAGAAAGCGAGCCAUCAGAGAGUGUAGUGUAGUGUGGUUGGAGAGAUUCGUAAGCCAUCAUAGUUUGUGUUAGGAUAGCUUGUUCAUCUCACGUCUUGGGUUCAUCUGUGUGAUUCAUCUGGGGUUCAUUUGUGGGUUCGUCUGAGGUGAGAGCUUUUUUUGGAAUGGUGCAUAAUCGAUUAUGCUUGAAUUAGAACCGGUCAGAUAAUCGAUUAUGGUGCAGAUAAUCGAUUUUUCAAAGUUAGUAAUCGAUUAUCUGUAAAAAUUUAGAGCCAUAAUCGAUUAUCUGAAGUGUGGAAAAAGGGCCAUAAUCGAUUAUUCAUUGCCAUAAUCGAUUAUGCUUGAUUUUUGCCUACUAACAUAAUCGAUUAUCCAUGGAUAAUCGAUUAUCCUAUGUAUAUAACUGAAUGCAUAAUCGAUUAUGUUCUAAAUUUUUUGAAAUUUUGUGUUUCUUAUUUUUUUUAUGUGAUUUUCAGGCACUGGUGUUCUUCAUCCUAUCAGUCAUCCUAUUGUGUUGUUCUUGCUUAUCUUCAGGUUUUUAAUUUUUUUUAUGUAAAGUUAUUUUUUUUAUUUCUGUUUUAUAUUUAUGUUUGGAUGAUUAUGGUUUUGUAAUAUAAUUUGUUUAGAAUUUAGUUUAGUUAAUUAUGUUAAGGAGUUAGUAAAUUAAUGUUGUUUGUAAUAUAAUUUGUUUAGACUUUAGUUUAGUUAAUUAUGUUAAAGAGUUAGUAAAUUAAUGUUAUUAUUUGAUUUAUUGUUUUAAUUUUUGUAGAUAGUUAUAAUUUUUGUAAGAUUUAAAAAAAAUAUUUAUUUGUAUGAAAUGAAUGAUUUCCAGAAUGGAAACAAAAAUUUGUAAAGUUUAGGUUUUUGAUUAUAGUAAACCUAAAUUAUUAAUGUUAUAAUUAAAUCAAAUAAAAAAUGUUGUAGUGAUUAACGAAAACUGAAAAAGUUUAGUUAAAUAUUGUUUAUAAGAGAAUAAAUUUAUUUAUUUAAAAUGAUUGGACAAAAAUUAUUAAUAUUAUCAUUAAAAGUAUUAAAAAAAUUGUUGUAGUUAUUUUUGUUAUAAGAUUUAAUUGUUUAUAAGAAAAAAAUUAAUGUUUUUAAAAUGAAUAUUUUUACAAUUUGAAAUAGAAAUUUGUAAUUCGUAGGUUUUUUAAAAAGUAAUUGAUAUUUUAGAAGUUGUAUUUUUAGUUGAUAUUUUGGUUUUUGAACUUGUAUUAUUGCUUUAUGAUAUUAUGUUAACUUUUCUUUUAGUUAUUUAUUGUAGUAAUUGCAUUAUAGAUGGCAUCAUCAUCCCACAAACGUAACAGAAUCCGUAAGGGUAAAUCUCCAGCAGAAGAUGUUGACGUUCCUCCUCCACCAACGAGGAUUCUAGAAUUCAAGAUACUUCAGUACCAAGCGUCAAAUGGUGGUUUUUGAAAAGAACUUUCACGCAAGAGCAGUAUUACCACCAAAAGUGAUGUAUACUCCAUUUUUUGCUGGUCCAGGAUUUGAAUUCCAAAAUCUUCUGAAUUGGCAAGGUUUACAACCUUUCCUUGGAAUUAAUUUUCCGUAUUAUGAGGAUUUUGUAAGAGUAUUUUAUACAAAUGCAAAAUUCACACCUGCUGGUCACUUUGCCAUUGAGAUUUGAGGAAAAAUUAUACACAUUAAAGAAAUAGAUUGGAUGACCAUUGCUCAUCUACAGUAUGACGGUCUUAAGUUAACCCUUGGGACGAUACCUGAGGAACUGAAUUUUGAUCGAGGUCUAGCAUUAUCGUCCAUGAUUCGUGAAGAUGUUGAAGGUGAAAAUCUGAAAAAUGUCGGUAGUCUGAAAAUGAAUGACCGACUGUUGCAUUACACAUGGGUGCAUAUUUUGUGUCCUCGAGGAAGCAACUAUGCACAACUACUUAAUGAAGAUAUUUGCAUGAUGUGGUUAAUCAAGAAUAAUGUACGCAUUAAUUGGCCUCAUUACAUAAUGCAACACAUCAUCAAAUGUCGGGAUAACAAGAUGUCUCUCCCAUAUGCAAAUUUGAUAAUGAGGAUCUUGCAGGUGUAUGGCUUUGACUUCCAAUGAACAAGCAAUAAUGCUAGGCUGGAAUCAUUAAUUUGGCAAAAAAAGUAUGACAAAAUGAAAUAUAUUCCAGGUCAAUGGCAUAUGACAAAUUGGUAGAUCCCACCAUGCAAACGAAGAAGAUGAUGAAGAGGAUGAAUUGCCAACCCAAGAUGUUGAAGGUGGUCAACCUGAGGAGGCAAACCCCACUCAAAGGGAAUUGUUAAAUCAAAUUUUGUCUGGCAUACAAAACAUGAAUACCCGAAUGGACAGAAUGGAGGUUACUCUGGCAGACAUUCGACGUCAUCAAGGCCAUUGAGUGUGUUAUUAUUAUGUUAUUGUCAUUGUUAUUUUUAUUUUUAAUUUUCAUGUUGAACAUUGAUGAAUUGUGUUUGUUAUUUUUGACGUUGACAUUGUUAUUGUUAAGGUUUUAUGCUAUUUUUCAUGCUACUUAUUUACAUAAUCAUAUUGUUUUUAAUGCAACUUUUUUAUCAUCUUAUUACUUCGACAACAUUGGUUAAGUGUCAUUAAUGUCUGCGUAUCACAACACGUCGUCAUCUAGUUGUACUGGUUGUAGUGUGCAAAAACGUGGUACUUUUACCCAUGCUACUGGGAGCACAAGUGCCUUCGUUGAUCUAUUUGUGAUUGUGGACAAUUUGUUGUUUUGAGAAUAGCGACAACACAAAAAAAUGCAGGAAAAUUUUUUUGGGUUGUCCCAACUACAAGGUAAAAUUUAUUCAAUUAGGUUUGAAACAAACUUAAGAAUGUUAUUUUAAACUUAUUCAUUGUUCAAUUUUAUUGUUUUCUUCAAAACAGAUUAGAAGGAUUAGAAGUGUCAUGGUUUUAGGCUGUAAUUUUUUCAAAUGGUGCAUUGAAGACGUUGCCGAUGAAAAAUAUGAAAUUAUUAUCAUACAACGAAAUAAGAUAUGUCUUCUAGAAAACCAUUUGAAGGUUUCCACAAGAAGGAUUCAAAUGUUAUUACUGGAAUGUUUUUUCUUUUUCUAAUUAACAUUAUGUUCUUCAUGUAAUGACUUUAUAUUAUAUAUUUUGACACCUACUUAAUAUUCAUGUUAUAUUCUAAAUUUCUAUUUUCUUUUUAAAAUAUAUUCAUUUUGCUAUUCAUAAUAAUGAAAAUUAUGUUUAAAAUUAAUUUUAUAUAUAUUUGUAUAUAUAUAUAUAACAUAACAUAACAUAAUUUAUAAAAUCAUUUAUAAUAUUAAAAUUAUGUAAAUAAAUUAACUUAAAUAAAAAAUAAUUCUUAAUUAAUAAAAUGUUAAAUAAUAUAAUUAUACUUUAAUUUUAAAUUAUAAUUAACUAAAAUAUGAAAUAGGAUUAAUAAUUAUUUAUUCUUUUUUUAUAUACAAGGGUAAAAUUGUAAUCUCACAAACUUUACUAUUCAAAAUAAUUUAUAAUAUUCUUACAACUAUCACAUCACUCACAAUUCUCAAUAAACUUUCCUCACACAUCCACUCUAACAUACCUCAAUCCAAACAACCUCAACUUUCUUCAUACUUCCACUCCUACUCCCCACACCCUCUAAUCCAAACACACCCUAAAAGAGUGAUCCAACCCAACCAAACACAAACAUAUAAGUAUUUCAUCUCCUAUCACCAGGUAAUCAAAUAUUAUAUUAAAUAUUUUUUUUUUCAAAAGUAGAAAAUCACAAUAAAAAAAUAUAAUAAUAUUACUCAUAUUGCAUCCAUACUUUUCAUAGUUUUCAGAUAUUAUAUUAAAUAUUUUUUACAAAAUAAAAAUUAUAAUAAAAAUAUGAUAUAUCAAAGAUUAUGUAUUAAAACGAAACACAUUUUUCUAAUGUCAAAUAUAAAGAAAAUAUAAUUACAUAAAUAUUAAGAUAUAGUACCAAAUAUCAAUUAUAUAGAUAUUAAGUUAUUAUAGAAAAAAAGUAAAAAAUUAUAAAUAAUUAAAAUUUGAUGACAGGAGAGAACUCAAUAAAAGAAUAUUCUUGAAACGAAAUAAAACUUAAGAUAGAGAAAUUAAGUUUGUUGUAAACUAAUUAAACUUUCUAGUUUGAGAAUAAAAUAUUUUUUAUAUGAAAAAAUAAAUAAUAAAUAAAAAUAUUAUAAAAAUAUAAAUGAUCAAAUAUUUAUCCAAAAAUUAUUUAAUUCAAUAAGAUUAAUAUUAAUGAAAUACACCGUUUUAUAAAAUUGCACAAAAUAUUUGUGAUAAGAGAACAAAUAUAUUGAGAAUCUGAGUGACUUUAUAAAAGAAAAAAAAUGAAAAUUUGUGGUGUAGCAAAGAUAUUGAAUAUAUUUUUUUUAUAUUACAUAAUAGAUUAUGAAUGUUUUAUUCCAUAAUUUUUAUUAACUUAAAACGCAUUCAAUCAAUAUGAUUUUUUUAUUAAAUUUAUAAUAAAUUCAAAUAAUAUUAAAAAAAAAAAUUUAUCAUUUAUAUUUUACAAAACAGAUUUAUUUAUCAUUUAUAUAUAAUUGCUUAAUAUUUUAUAAAAAAAAUUGCUUUUACCCAAAGUUUAUUAAGAGCAAUAUGAGUAGAAUUGAUUGAUACCAAUAAACAAACUAGAGGACUGCAAAGGAAGGAAAGGUGAUUUUGUUACAUUAACAUCAAUUCAAACUAAACCAUAACAUUUAGAAGGACACCUUUUCCUACAGGGAUUUAAGAAAAAAUGACGUAUUUAACAAACAAAAAUAUAAAAAAAUAUAAAAUAUUAUAAAAUAAUAAUUAAAAUAGAAAAUAGUAUGUUUAUACAAACACAUAUCAAACUUCAUGAUUAUAUCAUAUAUGAUAUAAUUAAUAUCAAUAUCAAUCAUGUUAAUAUUUUGAAUAUGGUAAAACUAAAAAAGAAAACAUUUCGAAAUUAUAAAGACAAAAAUAUUGCUUUGUAAAAUUUAAUACAGCUAUAUCUACUAAAAAGAUUUGUUAACCUUUAUAUCUUUAACACACUAAUGAAACAAAGAAGUAUUGUAAGAUACUAAAAGAGAUUAUUUAAUAUGUUUAUAUUCAUCUAAUAUAUUUAUUUAUCAAUCCAUACUUGUUUAUAUUAUUUUAGUACAUGAAAAUGUUACUGUCUCUAAUUCCUACAGAAACAUAUUUAUCAAUUUUAAAUUUCUAACAUUUUCUAACUAUUUUUAUUAGUUUUUUUAUCUUAAUUAUAGUUAGAUUCAUACUAAAAAUGGAAUAUAAUUAGAUAAAAGUUAAUGUAAUUAAUUUGUUUAAGUACGUAAUUUAACCAGUAAUAUACUUUUUAUUUAAUAUAAAUAAAAUAACUGUAUAUAUUUCUAAAUAUUUGUAUUCAGUAACUUUUUUUAGCAUCCUAAUUUUAUUAACAAUAUUACUUAAACAUCUAUAGUUUAUAUAUAUAUAUAUAUAAAGAUUUUGUCUCUAAAAGAAUCAUAAAAUAGCUAUUAUAUUUCUAUAAUUACUAAUUAUAAUAUAUUAAAAUAAUUUAAAAAUUAAUGUUAAAUAAUCUUGAUUUUGAAUUUUUAAAAUCCAAAAAAUUAUUCAAUCUAUAACUCAACCCCAUAAAACCGGCUCAGGGUUGAGGUUUGCACCCACUUAUAUACAAUGAAAGGCUCUAAUCUCUAGUCGAUGUAGGAUCGCCAACACACCCCCCUCACGCCGAGACUGCCAACUCGUGCGUGGGACUAUAUAUUAUGGGUGGUCCGAUAGCGGCCUGAUAGCAGGUGGCCUGAUAAGCCCAACAAACACUCGCUAGGAUAGGCUCGAAAUGGCUCUGAUACCAUAUUAAGAAGUGGUCUUUAAGCCUAACUCAACCCCAUAAAACCGGCUCAUAGGGUUGAGGUUUGCACCCACUUAUAUACAAUGAAAGGCUCUAAUCUCUAGUCGAUGUGGGAUCUCCAAGAUAGAUCUAUCAUCUAAUUUUUUUCCUAUGUGCAGUAAUGGUACUAGCAUAACAGAGACAACCAAACACNNNNNNNNNNNNNNNNNNNNNNNNNNNNNNNNNNNNNNNNNNNNNNNNNNNNNNNNNNNNNNNNNNNNNNNNNNNNNNNNNNNNNNNNNNNNNNNNNNNNNNNNNNNNNNNNNNNNNNNNNNNNNNNNNNNNNNNNNNNNNNNNNNNNNNNNNNNNNNNNNNNNNNNNNNNNNNNNNNNNNNNNNNNNNNNNNNNNNNNNNNNNNNNNNNNNNNNNNNNNNNNNNNNNNNNNNNNNNNNNNNNNNNNNNNNNNNNNNNNNNNNNNNNNNNNNNNNNNNNNNNNNNNNNNNNNNNNNNNNNNNNNNNNNNNNNNNNNNNNNNNNNNNNNNNNNNNNNNNNNNNNNNNNNNNNNNNNNNNNNNNNNNNNNNNNNNNNNNNNNGCAGCAGAAUAACCCAAGUAUAACGCGAGUAAUCAUCAACAAUAGUCAAGAAAUAACGAAAACCUUGCAUAGAAAUUAUGGAACAUGGUCCCCAAAUAUCAAAGUGUAUAAGAUCAAAAAUAGUAGAGGUAACAGUAUUACUUAAAGUGAAAGGAAGUUUUCUCUGUUUUGUACGACUACAAGUGUCACAUACAUGAUGAGUAUUAACAGUAAUAAAAGAGUAUUGUUUGCUUAAGACAUGUAAUCUUUCAUGUGAAGGGUGUCCUAGUCUAUAAUGCCAUAGUGUUUUGUCUGUGAUAUUACAAUUAAUAAAAGGAGCAAAACAAUGCGGUUUAGAAUUACUAGAAGCAGGCAAGGUAGUGACAAGGUACAAGCCAGCGGUGGCUUUAACUGUACCAAUCCUCUCUUGAGUGAGAUUGUCUUGUAUAAUGCAGUGGGUUGAAGUGAAAGUUAAAGUGCAUUUAAGUUGGUGUGAGUUUAAAAACAGAUAUUAAGUUUAAUUGAAAAUGAGGCACGUAUAACACAUCAGACAAAUAAAACUGAUCAGAAAAACGUAUUAAACCAGAAUAUGUGGCAUAAACAAUUUGGCCAUUUGGAAGACUAAUUAAGACAGGUUUAAUUUUAGUNNNNNNNNNNNNNNNNNNNNNNNNNNNNNNNNNNNNNNNNNNNNNNNNNNNNNNNNNNNNNNNNNNNNNNNNNNNNNNNNNNNNNNNNNNNNNNNNNNNNAUAGUGAAUUGGCACUGUUGUGAUGUAAGUUGAAUCCCCUUUACAUCCUGUUCUUUAGGAAAAAGCUCAGAAAAAGUGUCAGUAGUAAUCAUAUUAUUGGCUUGGGAUGUCCAAUUGGUGAAUUUGUAGCCAGGAGGGAACCCAUGCUUUUUAUAACAGGUGUCAAUAGUGUGGCCAAGACGAUUACAAAAAGUGCAGACUUUUCUAGUAAAAGAAAACUUUGAGGUUUUAACAUUACUAGAAGGAAAACCCACUUUGCGAAAACAAACAGCCUCAGUAUGACCAUAUUUACCACAAAAAUUGCAUGUAAUAGUGUGACUACUAUUAAGACUAUGAAGACUAGGGUUUUUCAUUAAACAUUGCCUAAAAGAUUUUUAAAACCAAUCAAGAUUUUGAAAGAGAACAGAAAAAAAAAUAAAAAAAUAACCAAGAACAGCAAAAAGGGAAAUAAAAAUCAGAGAGAAACGCAGCAGAACUCUUCAUUCGAAGAGCUUUGAUACCAUAUUACAGUAAAUCGUAAUGAAGAAAUAAAGGUUUUGAUGAACCCUAAUUGUAGAGAAAAAUAAAUAUAAAAGAAACUUUUAUUCACUUGUAUAGUAGAGAGUAAAAUACAUGGUGUAUAUAUAAGAAAAAGAUUAAGACCUAGGUGAAAUAGAAAAGGAAAGUUGGGUCAAACAAACAAAGCCCAAUAAUUUAAAAUAGAAAAUUAAAUAUAUUAACACUAUAUUUAAUCCAUCUAGUUAAAUGAAUUAGAUUUAAAAUCCAAAAGUAUAGAUUUAAAUUUGAAAUAAAUCCAUUUAAAUAGACUUAAAAUGAUAUGGAUUUAAAUAAUUAUGAAUUGGAUUUGAUAAUAUGAUUUUUUUUUUUGUCAUGAGCAUAUAAAGGAAAACAUUACUAAACUAUGAGCAAAUUCUUCGUGCACCUCUCUGUGUUCCUUCUUCUAACACUCCAAACUUCUAAAAUUAUCAAAAUUACUAUUAUCGAUUGGUUCUUUUUAAAUUAAAUUUUGAGUUGUAUAAUCCAAAAUACAUUUUUUCUAUCAUAGAUGAUACGAUCUGAAAUAUAAAAUUUGUAUUUCAAAUUAUGUAAUACAGAAUGCAAAAAAUCACAAAUAUUAACUUAUUGAUUAUGUAAUCAAUGAAGUCUUCAAAUUCCACACUUUGAAAUUAAAAAAAAACAUGAAUAAAAUAUAGGAGUUGUAUUAUACGUGAUUGAGAAGUAUUAGGCACAACCGAGUACAUAUCGUACUCUUUUAUCACUUAAAUAUGGAUUUGUAUGGAAUGUUAAACUAAUACAAAUAUUAACUAUGAUAAUCAUGUUAAUUUAAGUCUACCAUUAUAAUGGUUCAACAUAUCUAUAUAAAUCUAUAUAAAUAGAUUGACUCAUAUUAAGACAUGAGAAGUAAGACUUAUCCUUCUAUAUAAAAAAUUAUAUAUAAACAACUUAUAGUAAUUUUGAUAUCUUCAAAAGUAUAAGAUCUACAAAAUAAUUUGCCUAAACUAGUAACCAAAAUGUAUGAGACCCUAUAAUCAUCAAUGAAAUUUAAGGGAUGCAGACUUCAAAAGAUGCAACGCUUACAAUUCAAAUCUAUAUAUAUUUAUAUGAGUUAAUGCUACUAAUAAUUUUAAAAAAAUUGUAACAAUUAUUUGUGUUUGAUAACAAAAGUAAGAGAAAAAUACAUCACUCUUACUUUCUCUCAAAUUAAAAUAAAAUUCUAGUAUGUUUAUUUUUUUAAUAAACUUUUAAUUUAUUUAAAAAAUGUAAUAUUAUUCUAUUUUUCAUAUUACAUGAAUUGUUUUUUAAAUUUAAAUACAUUAAAAUUGUACUCAAAAUAAGAAAGAUAAUCUAAUAGUGGAAGAAAACGUAAGUGUAGCUUGAAACUGUAACACCCCGAAAAUGCAUCUAACUAUUUAAAUACACGUUCCACAUAUUCCUAUACAAACUUAAAUUUUUUCAAAAUAUUUUUAUUACAAGAUUAUGACUUAUAGAAAUAUAAAUAUUUACAUAUUCAUAGCUCAAAAUAAAACUUUGAAACCCUUAAGACUCUCCUGCACUUGUAUGGUCAUCUGCUCGUGUACAUAGUACAGUCAUCGCAGUUCAAACACAACACGAAAAGCAAGGGUAAGCUAAUGCAAAGAAAAUUCAUAACAUAAUUCAUGGAAAUAGAACCAAUUUAGACUAAUAAUUUAUAAACAUUUCUCUAAAUGAUUUCAUGUAAAAUUUCAAUACCAAUUCCAUCAAUCAUAUAGACCACACAUGGAUAUAUUUUCAAUCACAAUUAUUGGAUUUCAUUUCAAUCCCACUUCGUCUUUCCGGCGGAAGACUCAUUAAGUAUGUCCCUACUAGAUAUUAACACCUGAUCCAAAGAUUACAAACGAAUCCAAUAGAAAGGAUCAAGAUAAGUUCAAACAUCCAAUACCGAGUGUCUACAGCGGGACACGGUGUGUAUGAACUCUCUCUCAGCUUCUCACCACCUAAUAUCUUAGUCUACAUGACUUAGAUCAUCAGUGAAGCUAGAGGAUCUCCGUUAAACAUAGGCUUUUCAUACUUAAUGUACCAUCAAAUAACAACUCAUACAUUAUCCCAAAUGUAUGACAUCAAUUUCAUACAAUUUUCAUCAUUCAUGUAUAAUACAUAUCAUUCAAUCAGAACAUUUUACAAAUUUAUACCAUUUAAGAACUUUUCCAACAUCAAAACAAUAUUUAACUUUCAAACUAUCAAAAUAUAAUAUUUAUAAAGUUUAAAUAAUAUAUAAACAAACACACAAUAUAUAAACAAAUAACAUUUCUGCAAGAGAAAUUGAAUAUUGGGACCACGUUCCUUCCACAUUCAGAUCUUCUAUCCUAGAGUGCUAUUAAAAAUUAAAUUUAGCUUCCCUUACCUUAAUUGUUUACUUUUCAAGCAACUUCUAGAAUUUUAUUCCCACAAUCUGGAUAAGUUUCAAGAUUUACGGGCUUAAUGCAAGUUAUCCAAACAGAACAAAAAUUCAGUAUAUAGUAGAAUAAGUUGAGAGAAUUAAACUUCUCAACUUACUCCACCAAGAUUGAUGACUAGAUCGUAAGGAAAAAAGAGAACAAAGAAUCUUUAGAGCAAAAAUGAACUUACUCUGUUUGAAAAUCUGAUCGAGUGGAAAUGUUUCUCUAGAACGUGGUACGAUCAGAUUCUAAAAUAAAUGAAGAUAUGGAGAGAAAAAUUAAGAGAGAAGGAAGAGAUUUAAAAAGAGAAAGAGAGAGAAAUAAAAGAGAUAGUGUGGGGGUAAGGAGGUGUUGUGGUUUUUUUUUAAACGCUGUGACACAAACAACCUCAAAAUUAUUAUUGUAAUUUAUUCCAAAAUUAAUACAUAAAAUAUAUUUAUAAUAUUAUAAAAACAAUUAUUACUCUGAGAUGUUCUUCCAUUUAUUAAUUUUUGUGGAACCAUUAUGCCGUGUCAUCAAUCUGGCAAGUAAAUUUCAGGGACUUUUCUUUGAUCAUACCUUAUGCUUCCAUCAAAUAUAAGAACUUCUGCCAUGUCAUCAAUCCGUGAAGACUAAACCUCACCAAUUAAAUUCCACUAACUUUUCUUAUUUCGACCAUUCCUCUCCGCUGCAUUCAAAUAAAAUCAACGAGGAUGCACUUUCCAUUCACAUAAUUUGUUUUUAAGGGAAAAAAUAAAACAAAAAUAAUAAUAUUUUUUAAAAUUGUUAUAAUAUAUAUUUGCUUAAUUUGUAAUUAAUUAAUUGUUUUUUUAUUUUUCACUUUAUAUUUAUAUAUAUGUAUAUAUGUAUAUAUAUUACUUUUUUUUUCAUAUUUGUUUCCUUUCACUAAUGUAAAUUGUGUUACAGGAAACGACAACUUCGUGAUUGAAAUAUUAUUUUUGGUAAUAUAUUACAAUUAACUUUGAAAAAAAUAAAAAAUCAUACAAAAUUUGAUAAAAAAAGUAUUUAAAUAUCUAUAAUUUUAAAUAUUUGAUAAUUUUUUUAUAUUAGAUAUCAUUAUUAUUUUUAUUUUUAUUUUUUGUAAUUGAUAUAAUUAUUAUAAUUUUUUAUUAUUACUAUUAUUUAUACUUAUAUUUUUAUAAUAACUAUUAAUUAUUAUAAUUAAUUAAUUAUUAAUUAUUAUAUUUUUUAAAUACUAAUUUAUUUAAAAUCUAAUAUAUUUUUUUAAUUUUUUAACAUAAAUUAUUUAAUUAUGUAAUUUUAUUUUAAAUAAAAAUAAAUAAUAAUUUAAGUUUAAAAUAUAAAAAGAUAUCAGAGUAAAUUAUAAAUAAUUAAUUACAUGAAUAUAUAUAUAUAUGUAUAUAUAGCUUAUUUUCCCAAAUCUCUUCUAAAAAAAUUGAAAUUAAAAAUGAUUUUAUUUUUUGUGAUUUUUAUAUUUUAUUGGCUUGAUUGUGUUUUUUUGUCACAGUAAAAGCUUUCAUUUAUAUAUCGUAAGAGUUUUCAUGAAACAUCCAAUUCAAAUCUAUAUAUAUAUUUGAAUUAGAUUUUAAAUCAAAAUCUAUAUUCUUUAUAAAAAAAUAUUUAUAUAAAUCUAAAUCCAAAUAUUUGGAUUGAAUAUUAGAUGUAAAUUCAUAUUUUUAUAUAAAAGUAAUUUAAAUUUUUAUAAAUUUAAUUCAAAUUCAUAUUUUUAUAAAAAAAAAUUAAAAAUAAAUUUAUGUUUUUUAAAAAAUUAACAUAAUAUUAAUAUAGUAAUUGUUCGUGCUAAGGAGAUGAGACCUAUAGAACUAUUGUAUAGAACUAUUGAAGGUUUCGUAUUUCUCCUUUCCUCGAACAGCUUGCUAGGGCUUUGAUGUGAUCAUUCUGGUUGUCACGCUACUCCUUCGACUCUUAGUUUCAGAUGAAUGCCAAAUGGGAGAGGUACCUGCAGAAGACACUCCGACGCUCAAAUCAGUAAAGAGGGUAUUCGACACUCGGGUGUGUACAGUGAUAAUGACGUACCUUAUUCCUUAGAAUAUGUGUUAUUUAUAUUAUUUUAAUGAGUUUAUCUUAUUAAGCCUGAUAGUGGAAUGGAAUGGAUCAUACUUAUGAUUGUAUUACUUAAUUCUUAAUGGUAGUUUAACUUCAGUGACAUUGGUUUGAGCGUUAAUGAUUAUAUGUGUCGGUCGAACCGUUCGUAGAGAUCUCAGUCAUCUCGAUCUUGUCCCAUACCAGUACAAUAAUAUGUAAAAAAAUAUAUUAUAUAAAUAGUAAGAAGAUAUAAUAAAAGUAUAGUUUAAUAAUACUAAAAAGUAAUUAUUGAACUUCAAUUAACCGAGCAAACCAAGAGCAAAGAAAACACAUUCAUUUACAUUAUAAACAAACAAAGUGCCAGUUUCUAAUUUUAUCUUUCACAAUGAUAAUAUUUUAUUACUCAUUAAACAAAAAUUCAUUCUUUUAACAACUAAAAAUAAUAAAUAUUUACUUAACAAUUCAAGAUAAUAAAAUUUUAAUUAUAUUUAUUUUACUUUUUUAGAUUGCAACUUUUUGUAAGUGUUAAAGUAUGUAUUAUUUUGGUGCGAGAUUUAGAAUGAUUGAUAUGUCUUAACCGAAUACCCAAUUUCCUAUGGUCAUAGAAGUAACAACAGAGCCGUUCAUUUAUUUUUUGUACAUUAAAAUUUUGAAAUAUCAGCCGAAAAAAUGAGAAAUGUAGCUGCAUAGGUAAUGACAUUGGCAUAGCGAUUGUGGGGGAAGAAUUAAAUUUAAAUUGAAAAUUUUGAAUUUUCUAAUUUUUAAAAUUUAUUUAUGUAAAAUGAAAAUCUGAUUUAGAAAAUACAUAAAAUAUGAAUCAAAAUAAAAAAUAGAUUUAAAUAAAUGGAUUUGAUCAAUGUAAAAAUGGAGAAAUUUUAAUUAAUUGGACUUUUUUUUCAUCUCUAAUCAUCACAAUUUGUUUUUAAGUUUUUCUUCUUCAUUUUUACUACGUGUUGUGAAAUUGAUGAAAAACACUAUUCUUUUAUAAAGUGUUCUUUAUGAAUUAUUCUCCUCUUGUGAUUAAUGAUGAAGAAAAUUUGAGGAGAAGAAGCAUUAAAAAAUCUUCAAAAGCAAUUUCCAUGUAUUGAAGUGGAGUUAUGUAUUUGGAAGAGUGAGAUGUAUGGCCAAAUCAAUAGAACAUAAUCUAAACUAAGUCUUGAAGAAGACUAAUAUAGGGAGAACUUAGAACAGUAUAAUGACAAAAAAUUGACAAUCUUUCAUUACUAUUUUCAAGUUAAAAAAAUUACAAGAAAGAUGCAUUCAUAUUAAUAAGAGACUUGUCCUAAAAACUCUUCAAUGACAAUGUGAUAAAUGAUGUCACAUGUUCUAUGCUCAUGAUCCUCUCAAAUGAGAGGUUAACAAAUAUCACAUCUUAAUUAUCCCGAGUCAUGUAGACAUUCAUGACACGCACAUUCUUCCCAUAUUAAGUGAUGAAUCACUUUACAAUAUGCACUCACGCUAUUAGUAUACAUACCCAUUCUUCUAUUAACCAAAAUACAAGACUAAAAAAUAAACCAAGGUCCAAUACAUGAUCCAAAUAAAAUGUCAUAAUAUAUUUUUUACAAAUUAUUUAAACUAAAGUUUGGCUUAAAAAAUGUUUGACUUGGUCUUACUCAAUUGAGUCCUAAGCUUAUUCUAGUCCUCUAACCAAAAAUAUAAUAUUCUUUCAUGGUGUGAAUGUCUUAUUUGGUAUGCUCCAUACAUUUAUUUCUCAUAGAGUUAUUAUAUUUUUUUUGGGCCUACAAAAGAUAAACAAAAGCUCAAUUAGGUCAAUUUAUGUUAAUAAGCCUCUGAACAAAACUUUAUGUAUUUAUCUUCCUUAUUCUUUGAAUGUUGUGGCUGGAUACUGUUAUUAACUAUCGUAAAUACAACUAGUGCAUAUUCACACUCCAAAUGAGAUGAAAUCAAUUUGAAAUAGAAAUGAGACAAAAUCAAUUUGAAAUAGAAAGAUUGAUGUAUAUCAUAUUAAUUCUCUUCUAACAAAGUGAAUUAAAUCAUAAUAUUUAAUUUUUUAAAAUAUUUUUUCACUGUUAGCUAUAAAAUAAGGUUACAAAUUUUAUUUUAAGUUCAACAAUUAUUUAGAAAAAGAUUGUUGUAACUAAGGAAUUAGAUAGGAUAAAAUAAAAAAUUGAUUUUCAAUAUUUUAACUAUAAAAGUUUUUUGGUUUUGUGGAUUUUAUACAUCUUUUAAAUUAAAACAGAUUACACUUAAUUAUUCGUAAUAAAAUAUUAAUAAAUACGAACCAUUUCAUUAUGUUUGAAGUUUAUGUCUUAAAGAGAAUAAUUAUGAAACUGCUCCAUUGUUAUUAAUUUUUUUAUGAUUUAUAAUAUGUAUAAAUUAUUCUAUUUUACUACUUAUAUGUAUUUAGUAUUUCGAUAAGCUAUGAUCUUUAAAAUAUGAAUAAUUUUUUUUUAUUAAAUAAGAUGAAAAAAAUGAAAAUUUCAAUUUGAAAUUCAGUUUUAUUAUCCAAAAUUAGUAAACUGAUACAAUUGAAUAUAAAUUAGUAAACUGAUACAAUUUAAUUAGUUUUUUAAAUAUAUUAAAUUAGCUAUUUUUUUUUAUUAAAUUAACUCAAUAUAAAUUAUAAUAUUUCUUUUGCAUAGUGAUACCUAACACGAAAACUUUAUAAAAAAUUAUAAUAUUUUAUCAAUACAAAAUGUCUUCGGCAGUCAUGCUGGGACUAAUUAGCAAUAUAAAAAAAAGUUAACAAUUUAAAAGCAACUAGAAAUACUAUGAUUUUUAAUAAAAAUUGGUGGAAAAAAUAGUAUAAUUGAGUUCUAAACUUGAUUUAAAUAGUCGUUUUAGAAAUAACCAAAAUACGUAAAUAUAAAAGUUUAAUACUGUCAUUGUGAUGAGAAGAAAUUUAUCCCAAAUAGUCACCAAAUUUGUAUAUUUGGCAUGGAACUUGUCCAUCUUAUUCGAAGUUUCUACAAAUUAAAAAAAAUAAAAAUUGUUAGUUUUAAUUUUUUUAUUUUAUUAUAUAUAACGAAUUAUAUGAAAUUUUCUGCACAUAUUUUUUUAAUAUGAUAUUUUCUUACUUUUAUUAUUAUAAAAUAAUUUUAACUAUAUCUAUCACAUUCCAAUAUUUGAAAAACUUUCUAUUGAAAAUUGAAAUAUAUAUAACUCAAUCCAUGAUAAUUUGAUUUGAUUUAAAUUUGAAAUUUAAAACAUGCAAACGGGCCGCCACGUACCCGGAAAAAAACGACGUCGUCAAAUAUAAAACACAAAUUAUUUUAAAAUUAAGAAACACUAACACGAGAUUCGGAAAUCUCCCUCCAAAACAACACACCAUUCUGCCACGUCAUUGAUCCGCGUAAUGCAAACCGAACCAAUCACCUUUCAUCAAACAUUUCUAUAUAAACCACUCUACACCGCUUCUAUUGAUCACAUCACUCAAUCUUUGUAUUCUCAUCACUUUCGGAAAUCCCUCAAAUAAUUUUCAAUCAAUCCAUGGCGAAGGGCGAUAAAAAACCGGCAGAGAAAAAGCCAGCAGAGAAGGCUCCGGCGGAGAAAACAAAGGCAGAGAAGAAGAUCCCAAAGGAUGCUACCUCUGGUGACAAAAAGAAGAAGAGGAAGGCCAAGAGUGUGGAGACCUACAAGAUCUAUAUCUUCAAGGUUCUCAAACAGGUCCACCCUGACAUAGGGAUCUCCAGCAAGGCAAUGGGGAUCAUGAACAGCUUCAUCAAUGACAUCUUUGAGAAGCUCGCCCAGGAAUCAUCCAGACUCGCCCGCUACAACA